rnacentral:lncRNA from 1 species
UUUGAUUUCCACUACUGUGGUUUCUGUUGCUGCUGAUGGUUACCCUUACUAUUCUCCACCACCACCUUACGAGUACAAGUCACCACCUCCUCCUUCUUCAUCACCACCUCCUCCUUAUGUGUAUCAGUCUCCACCUCCACCACCAAUUGAGCACAAAGCUCCACCUUAUGAAUACAAGUCACCACCUCCCCCUUCACCAUCACCUCCACCACCUUAUGAAUACAAGUCACCACCUCCUCCUUCACCAUCACCACCACCUCCUUAUGUGUACAAGUCACCACCUCCUCCUUCACCAUCACCACCCCCUCCUUAUGUGUACCAGUCACCACCUCCACCACCACAUGAGCAUAAGGCUCCACCUUAUGAAUAUAAGUCACCUCCUCCCCCAACACCAUCACCUCCACCUCCUUAUGAGUACAAGUCACCACCUCCUCCUUCACCAUCACCACCACCUCCUUAUGUGUACCAAUCACCACCUCCACCUCCUCAUGAGAAAAAGUCUCCAUCUUAUGAAUACAAGUCACCACCUCCCCCUUCACCAUCACCUCCACCUCCUUAUGAGUACAAAUCACCACCUCCUCCUUCACCAUCACCACCCCCUCCUUAUGUAUACAAAUCUCCACCUCCACCACCACAUGAACACAAGGCUCCACCAUACCAUUACAACUCUCCUCCUCCACCCUCUCCCUCACCUCCACCACCUUACUACUACAAGUCCCCACCACCACCUUCACCAUCUCCACCCCCACCUUACUACUACAAGUCCCCACCACCACCUGUAAAGUCUCCAGCUCCAAAGCCUUAUUACUACAAGUCUCCACCACCACCAUCUCCUUCACCCCCUCCACCAUACUACUAUAAGUCCCCACCACCCCCUUCACCAUCUCCCCCACCACCUUACUACUACAAGUCUCCACCACCACCAGUUAAGUCCCCAACUCCAAAACCUUACUACUACAAAUCUCCCCCUCCCCCAUCUCCUUCACCCCCACCACCUUACUAUUACAAGUCUCCACCACCACCUUCACCAUCUCCUCCACCACCUUAUUACUACAAGUCCCCACCUCCACCAGUUAAAUCCCCAGCUCCAAAGCCAUACUACUACAAAUCUCCACCACCUCCAUCAUCUUCACCACCUCCACCUUAUUACUACAAGUCACCACCACCACCAAUUAAGUCCCCAGCUCCAAAGCCAUACUACUAUAAAUCUCCUCCUCCUCCAUCUCCGUCACCCCCACCACCUUACUAUUACAAGUCUCCCCCACCACCUUCACCAUCUCCUCCACCACCUUACUACUAUAAGUCCCCACCUCCACCAGUUAAAUCCCCAGCUCCAAAGCCUUACUACUAUAAAUCUCCACCACCUCCAUCACCUUCACCACCUCCACCUUACUAUUAUAAGUCCCCACCACCACCAGUUAAGUCCCCAGCUCCAAAGCCAUACUACUAUAAUUCUCCACCACCUCCAUCACCUUCACCACCUCCACCUUACUACUACAAGUCCCCACCACCUCCUUCACCUUCUCCUCCCCCACCCUACUACUACAAGUCUCCACCUCCACCAGUUAAGUCCCCAGCACCAACACCUUACUAUUACAAAUCUCCUCCCCCACCUUCUCCUUCACCCCCACCACCUUACUACUACAAGUCUCCACCACCUCCUUCACCAUCUCCUCCCCCACCUUAUUACUACAAGUCACCACCUCCACCAGUUAAGUCUCCAGCUCCAACGCCUUAUUACUACAAAUCUCCUCCCCCACCUUCCCCAUCUCCCCCACCACCUUACUACUACAAGUCUCCACCUCCACCAGUUAAGUCUCCAACUCCAACUCCUUACUAUUAUAAGUCCCCACCACCACCUUCACCAUCUCCUCCACCACCUUACUAUUACAAGUCCCCACCUCCACCAGUUAAGUCUCCAGCACCAACUCCUUACUACUAUAACUCUCCACCACCACCUUCACCAUCUCCUCCACCACCUUACUACUACAAGUCCCCGCCUCCACCAGUUAAGUCUCCAGCUCCAACACCUUACUAUUACAAAUCUCCUCCUCCACCAGUUAAGUCUCCAGCUCCAACACCUUACUAUUACAAAUCUCCUCCUCCACCAGUUAAGUCUCCAGCUCCAACACCUUACUAUUACAAAUCUCCUCCUCCACCAGUUAAGUCUCCAGCUCCAACACCUUACUACUACAAAUCUCCUCCUCCACCUUCAGCAUCUCCUCCACCACCUUACUACUAUACAUCCCCGCCUCCACCAAUUAAGUCUCCAACUCCAACACCAUACUACUACAAAUCUCCUCCUCCCCCUUCACCCACACCUUACUACUAUAAUUCUCCUCCUCCACCAGUUUCGUAUCCUCCACAUCCUUACCCACAUCCCAACUACCACCCAUUGAUUGUGAAGGUAGUGGGUAAGGUCUACAGCUUCAAGUGUUAUGAUUGGGAGUAUCCCGACAAGUCCCAUAGCAAGCACCACCUCAAAGGUACAUUACAUUCAUUUCUUUAUCCUUUUAUUUUGAUCCUUUAUCUCUGUCAUUUUUCUGUGAGGCUUAUAUGUUUUGAUCACCUUGGCUCUAAAAAUUAUAGACACACUUUUACACAAACAAUUAUUCUUAGCUGUCUCCUUCCGACACUAAGUCUUUAUUCUUUUGACUUUCUAUUGUUUUUUGGAAUGUGAGCUAAUCGUAAUUUCAAAUAGCGAAAUUGAGCAUGGCAAUACUAAUUAGUUUGAUGGAUUUGCUUAUUCUACCUGGAACCAACUUAAGCAAAUAAAUACACUUAUAAAAUUAUCCUUUUUUGUACUAAUUAACAAUUUAAAACUCAGAAUUAUCAUUUUCAAAUUAACUGGAUAAAAGGCACUACAAGGUACACCCACUAUCGCAUUAUUUACGACACCCGCAUAUUUUUUAUUAAAUAUUAUAAAAAAACAUAACUCCUAUCUAAAAUAAUAUAUAUNNNNNNNNNNNNNNNNNNNNNNNNNNNNNNNNNNNNNNNNNNNNNNNNNNNNNNNNNNNNNNNNNNNNNNNNNNNNNNNNNNNNNNNNNNNNNNNNNNNNUAUAUAUAUAUAUAUAUUAAUUCGGUUAGAACUACCUACAGUAAUUAAUAAGGCAAACAAUCAAUAUGACAAGGAUAGUUUAACGGGCUAUUCUUCUAAUAAAGCUGGCUAAUAUAAUUAUCAUAUGAUACUCAGCUUUUAUAGUAGUAAUUAGUAUUUAGUAAUGCUGCCCAAUAUAACAUAAAUUGUCAAUGUAUGAUUUAUGAAUUGCAAUUAUCUUUAUAUGGAGCAGGUGCUGUUGUGGAGGUGAAAUGCAAAGCUGGAAGGAACAUUAUUAAGGCUUAUGGUGAAACCAAGAGCAAUGGAAAGUACAGCAUUACAGUUAAGGACUUCAACUACGUUAAAUAUGGACCAUUGGUAUGCAAGGCCAAGCUUUAUGCACCACCUAAGGGAUCACCCUUCACCGUACCCACUAAGCUGAACGAGGGAACCGAUUUGAAUGUGAAAUCUAAGGACAAGUAUGAAGUUGUGCUCAAAGCUAAGCCAUUUGCUUAUGCUUCAAAGAAGCAUUUUGAAGAAUGUGAAAAACCAAAACCUUCACCAACUCCUUAUUACUACAAAUCACCUCCUCCUCCAUCACCAGUUUACAUAUACAAAUCCCCACCUCCACCAUCACCAACUUAUUCUCCUCCAUACUAUUAUAAGUCUCCUCCUCCACCAUCACCCGUGGUUAAGCCUCCAUAUUAUUACACAUCCCCACCUCCACCAUCACCUUCUCCUCCACCUCCUUACUACUACAAGAGUCCCCCUCCACCCUCACAUGUGGUUAAGCCUCCAUACUACUACAACUCUCCACCUCCACCAUCACCUUCUCCUCCACCUCCAUACUACUACAAAAGUCCUCCUCCACCAUCACCCUCUCCUCCACCGUACUAUUACAAAUCUCCUCCACCACCAUCACCUGUAGUUAAGCCUCCAUACUAUUACAAAUCUCCACCUCCACCAUCACCUUCUCCUCCACCUCCUUACUAUUACAAGAGUCCCCCUCCACCAUCAUCCUCUCCUCCUCCUCCAUACUAUUAUAAAUCUCCCCCACCACCGUCACCUGUGGUUAAGCCUCCAUACUAUUACAAAUCACCACCUCCACCAUCCCCUUCUCCACCACAUCCUUACUACUACAAGAGUCCCCCUCCACCAUCACCCUCUCCUCCUCCUCCAUACUAUUAUAAAUCUCCCCCACCACCGUCACCUGUGGUUAAGCCUCCAUACUAUUACAAAUCACCACCUCCACCAUCCCCUUCUCCACCACCUCCUUACUACUACAAGAGUCCCCCUCCACCAUCACCCUCUCCUCCUCCUCCAUACUAUUAUAAAUCUCCCCCACCACCGUCACCUGUGGUUAAGCCUCCAUACUAUUACAAAUCACCACCUCCACCAUCCCCUUCUCCACCACCUCCUUACUAUUACAAGAGUCCCCCACCACCAUCACCUGUGGUUAAACCUCCAUACUACUACAAAUCUCCCCCACCACCAUCACCAUCUCCACCACCUCCCUACUAUUACAAAUCACCCCCACCACCAUCCCCAUCACCUCCACCUCCUUACUAUUACAAAUCUCCCCCACCUCCAUCUCCAUCUCCACCACCUCCUUAUCACUAUCAAAGUCCUCCUCCCCCAUCUCCCGUUUCUCAUCCUCCCUACUACUACAAAUCCCCUCCACCACCAACGGCAUCUCCUCCACCUCCGUACCACUAUGUGAGUCCUCCCCCACCUUCACCAUCUCCUCCACCACCAUACCAUUAUACAUCACCACCUCCUCCCUCUCCAUCUCCUCCUCCACCAUACCAGUACACAUCACCACCUCCUCCAUCCCCAUCUCCCUCUCCCGCAUACAUUUACAAAUCACCUCCCCCACCAGCUUACAUAUAUGCCUCUCCACCACCACCUGUACACAAGUAACCUUGGAACGCCUAAGCUACAAUAGUGAUCAAUCAUGUAAGUUACUCAUCUUUACCAUGAAAAAAAAUAUAUUAUCAUUAGAUUUGUAUGAUUUUUAGUAAUGAAAAUUCUUAUUUGUAUCUAGGUUAUAGUUUUCGUCAAGUAAUAAAGGCAGGCUCCAUUUGGAGCAAAGUGAGACAUCUAACUUCCAGUCCAUGUUCUUUGAAUAACAGUCUGAAAGUAUCAUCUCUGAACUACAAUCUUUAUGAAUCAGACGAGACUGCUUCUAUUUCUUCGGUGGCCAUCUUAGGAAUCCUGAUCUUAUUGCAGUCAAGUGAUGGACAUAAAAAAACAAGGAAGCGAGAUGCCAAGGGAAAGUGAAAAGUACAAUCCACUUGUAGUGAUUUCUUUAAUUUAUUUCUUGGUAGGUUAAUAUGUCUGUGUAUGAUUGUUUUUCUAUUUAUUGUGGAAUUUUUGUAUUGUGCCCUGUUGCUGUGUUUGCAAUGAGAGUAUUAAUAAUAAAUAAGUACAUUCAAUUUCUGCUCCCUAACUAGUUCACGUUUCUUUACUAAAACAAGUAUACAUGUGAUAUUACUAAAACAAUUUCAAAUAGCUCAAAUAAAGCAUUAAAAGGCUUCCCAAAAAUACAAAUAAGAGAGAAUGACUAAGUCUUCGAUCAUUGGCCUUGGAAGAAUGACUGGCCGAGCCUACGUUUUUGUUGCUUUCUGUAUUGUCUAAAAUCUAAAUCCUAAACCAGAUCUACGUUUCAUUCCAAUCAUAUCAGUAAUCCAAUAAGGUUUGCCAUUUCAAAUUCCUACACUGGUGAAUUAAUUUUCUCUGCCAAUUAUGUUCGGAAUUUUCAGCACAAAUGUUUUGGUGAUAAACUAACAAAAAUGAUAUGAUAAACAACAAAAGGGAAAAACUUUGACGAUAACUUACUUAGAAGAAAUAGCAAAUAAGGUCUCUUUCUUUGGAUUCCUAAAAAGCUUUUAUUAGUUGCUUCUGUCUUCUCCUAUGAGGGAAUGACAAAGUCUUUGGUCAUUGGCCUUGGAAGCAUUAUUGGUUGAGCGUUUGGUGCCUAUUUUGGUUUUCGGUGUUGACUAAAAAUCCUUAACCAGUUCUAUUUUUUACUCCUAUCAAAUUGAAAACUCUUGGCAUAUGUUUUGGUUGAGUAUGGUAAGAGCCAGCUACAUUAUAGACUAAUCCAAUAAGGUUUAACAUUUCACUUUGCUACAUUGAUAAAUUAUAUUUCUCCAUCAAGUGUGUUUGGAAUUGUCAGCACAAAAUUUUCAGUAAAUUGUCUUGUCACUGCAUAUCAUAUUAGACAUGCUUCUCCUGUAAAUUGUCAUGUUACUACAUGGCCGAGAUGUUUUAGGAUUUAAACAAAUAUUCAUAACAGAAAUGGUGAAAUUGAUUAAAACGAAAACCAGAUUAAUAAUAUUGGUAGACUAACCUUCACAAUUUCCUCCAACUAAAAAUCCGCCAAAGCCUCUUUCUCUGUCACUCAUCACUUUGCUAGCUCUGAAAAUCAAGGUCAUAAAAAACAAGUCAUAAAUCAUAUUAAAACAAUAAAAUGCAUAGCGCAGGGAUAUGAGAUUUAAUUGCCUUGUUAGCAACAUUCACCAUCAUAUCAUAUUAGAGUUUGUGUCAAGCUUUUUGAUGUUCAAUAUAUCAUCUACCAUUUAAAUGUAUUACUUAUAUUUAAGAAUUAAUUAUAUGAUUAACACAUGAAAAGGUAGGUGGAUCAUACACUUACGCUAUAAAAGCACGGGCUACAUAGAUAUUAAACUCAUCAUAUUAUUGCCACUAAGAGUAGUUAACUGAAUGAGAAAAAAAUGUAUACAUUAACGUGUAAAAGUUUUAUAUAUUGACGGUACAUCACUUACCAUUCAUUUUCAACCAUCAUCCACUAUUCAAGAAAAAAGUAAGAUCAAUGAUAUGUGUAUAAAUCUACAACAACGCAUAAAAUCUAAUCUUAAAAGGGAAAAAAACACAUGUUCACAAUAACAUGUUAUAAUUGAAGAAAUCAUCAUAUACACAUAGAGAGCGUAGCCUAAUAUGAAAGCAAUGCAAUUGAAUCGGGAUAUAACGAUUCACUCGCUCAUUCCUAACAUAUAAUCUCUAAAAAAAACUCCUCUCUAUGUGCAGAUUCAAUAAUCAAAGCGAAAGAGGCAUAAAAUCGUGCUAAAUGAAAAAUCGAUGACUGAAACCGAAUUCAUACUCGAGAAAAGGUUGUUACCAAAAACGCCUCAUUCCAUCGCGCUUACGAUACUCCAUUCACGUAGAUGGAGUGAGAUUGAGACGGAAAUGGAGUCAGAAGUCGAGAGAGAUUGAACCCGCGAAACACAAUCCAUGUUCCAAGUUCCAACCAAACUUAGCUAACAAUUUUCGUUUGAUUAUUUGCAUUAUGCAAUUUUCAAAAAAUAUAUGAAGGGGAUGAUUGUGGAACUUAUAAAUACAAAUAAUAAUAAAUUAAUAAUAUCAUUUUUUGGAAGUCACUUAAAAAAUAAAAUUAAAAUUGGAAGUAGAAAAUUAAAAUUUAUAUUUUAUAAAUAAAUUUAAAAAUAAUAUUUUCUUUUGUUUAAUAAACUAAUGAGAAAUAGUCGGUUAGUGUCAUUGUUGAAGUGAAUAGAAUGAAUUUGAUUAGUGUGCAUAUAUAUUAUUUAUUAUUUAUAUAUUAUUAUUUUUACUUUAUAGUGACCAAUUAUUACAAUGAUAUGAUUAGUGGGAAUAUAUUAUUUAUUAAUACAUAUAUUAUUUUCUCUAAAAUAAUAUGGUGAUAUUUUUAGUUGGUCUUUCAUGGAAAAUUUAAGAAAUCUAAACUUAGUUUGGAGAGGCAACUUAUGAUAGUAUGAUGAAUUUAAGUUAUGGGGUAAAAAUUGUAUACACUAAAUAAUAAUGUGAAAGUUUUUUAUAUAAUUAUUGUAUUAUUUACAAUUUAUUUUGAAUUAUUAUUGACUUUUAAAAAUAAUAAUACAAAAUGAGAAUGACAUACUUAAUUUUCUAGUAAAAAACUGAAAUAUUCUUUUAAUCCCAACACCAUUGACUCUAGAGUAAUGGAUAACAAAAUUAUACCAAGAUUUAAACACAGAAGAAUGAUUAACCAAGGAAGAACACAAUUUUUUAUUUAUCCGAAUGAAAUCAUGACAUCCCAAAAAAGACUACCAAGUAGGGUCCAGAUUCAUUUCUAAAAAAGAAAAGUUUAAAACAAACAAUGAACAAUUUUUUAUCUCUUGAAAUAUUUGAUGCAUCAUAAAACAUACAAUAAAGCAUGGUUAUUCUAAUGGAUACAUGAGAUGAUUUUUUUAACCCAUAAUAUUUCGGUGCUUUAUUUACACAAUGUGUCAAAACAAUGGUAAACCAAGUAUUACAGGACAAUGCUAUCAAUUCCAAUCUUCAAAAAGUAAUUGCAGUUCCUGUGUCUUAUUCAAAUAUUUGUCACUUUCUUUCAAUGAGUCUAUGCAAGUGAAUUAUUCAACCUUGGUGAUCUUUUACCGAGUCGACUUUUGAAAAAUAUCUGGUUCUAAUGUACAAAUCUAAUUGUAGUUGACUCAUCAUUAAUAAUAAUAAAACCAUAUAUUAAUAAAGAAAAAUGCCAAUGUUAAAGCUAAUUCUCUUAAUAAAUAAAAGGGAGCCAUAUCAUAUAGUAACCAUUUAUCUCAUCUUCAACCAUCUAGAUUUUCUAUAUAUACUUUAAAAGUAUCAUCUUUAAUAAAAGGACCAUCUAAACUUAACAAAAGUUUUAUAAUAAAAACAUCCCAUAUAAAAUAAAAAUAUUAAAUAUUAGUUAUUUAGGCUAAACUUUUCAAAAAUGUGAUUAAAAUAAGAAAAAGCUAUUGGCCCUUCAAAUUAUUUUGGUACUUUAACUCCAUGCAUGUAUGUAAGUUGCACUGUCUUUUUCUUUGUUGUUUUUUUCUUCCAACUUUUAACUCUGAACUUUUUUGCAGAUAGAUGCAGGAGAAAAUAAGAGUCUCUUAUUUUUAUAUUAUUUUUCUGAAUAAUUAAGAUAUUGAUCUCUUUUCAUUCACCUUCUAUUCUCUAUUUCCUUGCACCUUCAGUUUCUUAUUUGGAUCAGGUUUGAUAUUAUUUGCACAUACCCAGAUCUGGCUUUGCUUCAAUUUCUUAACUUUUUAUCUCAAUUCUUAAUAUUUCAUGUCAAACUUUUUCUGGGUUUGGUUUCUCAUAUCAUUUUUUGGGUUAGCAAAAUUUUAUGUUCCUUGGUUGGUCAACAUUAUUUAUAAUCAUUUAUUUGAAUUAUUAGCUUUGGAUUUAGAUUUAGCUAUGAUGCCCCUCUUAGUUUUUAUUUGUUCUUUCCAAUUCAACCUUGCUUGAAUGAGUUAUUGAUGUCAUGAUUUUUUUGUCUAUGAUUUCCAAUUCACUUUUUUAUGCCUUUCAAUUUGUUCUUGUAGAAUCUCUUAUUGUUUGAACUUUGAUUGCUAUGACAGUGGUGUCUGGCUUAUUUGUAUAUUCGGAUUUAUCUUUAGAAAUUCAUCCCUUCUCUGUUAUUUCAAGCAUUCAGUUGUGGUUUUUUUGUGUUGCGCCGAAGAAGAAGUGAAGGCAUAAAAUUUUGCUUACUACUUCUUCAAUGAAAAAAACCAUAUUUCUAAUUAAUUGGUUUUUCGUAACUAUAAACUUAUAUCAGCACAAAGAAAGAACUUGCUUGAAAAAAUCGUUUAGUAUUCAAGUAACCGCUACGUUGUUAUUGAGAAAGUCUACGCGUUUCUUGAACCAGCACAUGAUAAAAAAUUGAAGUGGUUGCUAUUGGUAUUUGUAGUUUGUACGUAGCAGUUCAGUUUGUGGUGCGGGCACGUUGUUUCUACUGAAAACCAGCUACAAUGAAGAAGGCCCUUGGCCAAACUGUUAGGGAACUGUAAGUUUAACUGUUUAUUAUCGUGUGGUUGAAUAUGUCAUGGCUAUAACUUCUAUUUUAGGUGUUCAUUACUAUCUCAGAAUCCUACCCUAUUUCGUAAAUGCUUUAAUCUCUCCAUUGUAUUCCCGCAGUAAAAGAGGAGUAAAUAAGAAAGUGUUGAAAGUUCCUGGGAUAGAACAGAAGGUAAAUAUGUUAUUUGAAUAUUCGCUGUAAAACUGCGAUUGCACAACUCAUAGCGUGAUAAUUGGUGUGAGGAUUUGUCUGUAGUAUGAAUUUAAUUUUCUAUCAUACUUGCCUGUGAAAUUGCUUGUCGACUAUCAUGAAAUUUACAUGGUAUAAUCUUAUUGUGCGAUUUUUAAUCAGAUCAAUUGUUUGUCUCCCCUCCUGUAGGUUCUUGAUGCUACCAGCAAUGAAGCAUGGGGUCCUCAUGGAUUACUUCUUGCAGAUAUUGCUCGGGCAUCCAGAAACUAGUAAGUUUUGAACACUUCAUUUUCUGGUUGAUAUUGUAUGUUUUCUUAAGAAGUGCCUCAUUUUUUAGCUCCCUUGCAGUCAUGAAUACCAAAUGAUCAUGGCAGUAAUCUGGAAGCGGAUUAAUGACACUGGCAAGAAUUGGCGCCAUGUCUACAAGGUUUUCCUAAAGCCAUUUUAUGUUUUAGUUGCUGUUAUUCCUAAGUUCUGUUAAUCUUAUUUCCUUUUUUUACUGCCAUAUUCCUCUUUAGUCCCCUUCAGCACUUCAAUGCGCUCAAUAGAUGAAGUAAACCAUUUAUGAAAUUUGUCAUAAUACACCGUUAAAAUCAUGAUGGGUUCUUGCCAUUUGAGAAUGCUUCUACAUCAUUUGCAUCUACUGCUGAUCAUACUCAUAGAAUUGAAUAGUGGUUUUGUUUAUAUAUUGGCUGUUCAUUAACAGGCUUUGACGGUACUAGAGUAUUUGGUGGGCCAUGGGUCAGAGCGAGUCAUAGAGGAGAUUAAAGAACAUGCCUAUCAAAUAUCGGUAAUUUCCAUUUUGUCAUACAGGUCUCUAGUACUGUUGAAAUGAUCUAAAAGUUAGAAUGCAACUUUAUAAUAUUGCAAAUUCUAUGUGAGCAGACAUUGUCCAAUUUUCAAUAUGUGGAUUCCAGUGGAAGAGACCAGGGAAACAAUGUCAGGAAGAAAUCGCAGAGUCUUGUUAUCCUUGUGAAUGAUAAAGAAAGAAUCAUAGAGGUUAGGCAGAAGGCUGCUGCUAACAGGGACAAGUAAUUCUCAUCUGAAUAACCGUGUUUUUUUUAAUAUUUGAACUUUGUUACUUACCCCCUUAUUUAGGAAGCAUUGGGCACUGUUAAGUACAUAUUUUCUCUCUCCCGAGUCCUAUGAUAUUCAUAAUCAGUGUUUGAAUUUCUUGUGUUUCUAGACUAUAUACCUAACAUAACAGUGUAGAAUGCUACAUAUGUAAGUGUGCAUGCUAGUUUCUCAAUUUGGAGGAGAUAUGUAAUUGCCCUAUAUGAUUCACCAGGUUCCGCAACAACUCAGCAGGUGGAAUGCCCAGACCUGGUGAUAGAUUUGAUGAUGAUCGAUACGGAAGCAGAGAAGAAGAUAGAAGUGGUUCUGGUUAUGGCAGAGAAAGAGAAUGGGGCUCUAGAGAUGGUGAUCAGUAUAGUCGUGAGGGAGACCGUUAUGGCAGAGAUUAUGAAGAACGCUCUAGCAGAGAUGGCUACAGGGAUGAUGAGUACAGCGGAAGAAAUCAAAGUGUUGAUGAUUACCAAUAUGGCUCAAGAGGCAGAAGUUCUGAUGGUGAUCAUGAUCGUGGUUAUGAUGAUGAUGUUCAACGUUCAUCUCGGUAUAAGUUUAUAUCCGAAUAAGACAAUUUUUGAUAAAUUAUUUUUUCUCAUAACCUGAAGUAGCUUAACAAUGAAAUUAUAAAUAGUAAUUUAGUUUUGGAUUAUAGCUUUCUUGUUACUGUAUGCAUUUUAUGUUAGUGCUUCAACCUGCUGGCUUUUGUAGGUUUUUCAAUCUUCACCAGUUAACUUUGGGUAGCUUCAUUUUGAAGGGGAAAUAAAAGCCUAUAUCUUUAACCAUUCAAAACCAGUCUUGUUUAAUCUGUAUAUGAUGGAAUAAAUUGUACGAUUGUUAAUGUUCUCAUGUCAUUACUUUGCCCUUGCUUAAAUUGUUCGUGUUGACUCUAAAAUAUAGAGGUCCAAUGUGAGUUGGGUCUGUGAGCCAACCUAUCUCACCAUGGGUUCGAGCCAGUUUGGAUUGAUUUUUUUUCCAGGGCGGCAUCUAGCCGACUCACUUGCCUGAUGUAAAGGACACGGGUAUUCUUGUUUGAGGCCAUUCUGUGGCGUUACUGAUUAAUGAAGUUCACUUGAGGAUAUGAUACCAUAUUUUUUAAUUUGCCAUCUCAUUAUCAUUAAAACAUGUGAUUUACAUGAUCUUAUGGUUGUUAUGUACCUUAUUCAUGCUACUAUCUAUUGCUAUGAAAUGUGUCAGAGGUAGCAGUGCUAAAGCUGAAGACCGUUCGCUGGAAGGAAGGUAAACUAUCCAUUUAGAUGCUCUGUCUCUCACUCGCUUGCUAUCAUAUCAUGUGCUUCCAAUCAUUAUUUAGAUUGACCUUAUGCUAUACAAUAAACAGGCUAGAACAGAAACUUCAAGAGCAAAAUGUGGACGCUCCUCCUAGUUAUGAAGAAGUUGUUGGUGAAUCUCGAAGCCCUAUACACAAUGAGAGGUAUGAACUUUAUGAUGUGGACAUCACUAUUCAGAAAAGGAAUCUGAUACUAAUAUUAUAUUGAUCUCAGGGAUGGAGAAACUUCAGCAGCAUCUGCUCCAAAAGGCUCUUCUCCUGUAAGUGAUAAUACACAUCAACCGCGUGCUCCUACAGGAUCUUCUCCUCAUAUGAAGGAUGAUCCAACCAAAGCAACAGCUGCUGCCACAACCACUACAUCUGAAAACCAGAAAGUUGAGGCUUUUGAUGAAUUUGAUCCCCGUGGUCCUCCAUCAGGUGUGAAAAGUUCUUUACAGAAUGCAGUUAUGUUGAUCCUCGAUAUGCAUGCAACAGUUCCUGAUUGUUUCUUGUUUUGAGAGAGUUGGAAUAUUCUUUUAUAUUUGCUAUUAUGAACAUAUUAUAUUCUUAUUCAGCAUAUAGUCGAUACCAGACAUAACCCUUAAUCUGACUCUGGUUUGAUGAAUAUCAAUGACAUGACACUAAUUGAGAUUUUGAUUAAGUUUUAAACGGUAUCCUUUUGGGGUUUUAGUUUAUUAUUAUUGAUGAUCUCAAAGAGCUGAUAUCAAUGCUUUAAUGCUAUUUUCUUUGCAAUUAACAUUUGUUAGGCUAAUAUGCUGACAAUAUCUUGAUGUUUCUUCUUAGCUGCCCCAGCCACUGCUAAUAAUGCUGAAAUAGACUUAUUCGGCUCCCUAUCAGAGCCAUUUGCUUUAAAUUCGUUGGCUUUAGUGCCUUCUUCACAAGCAACAACAACACCUGAAGGCAAUGUAAACCUGGACUCAACAGCUUCCUUUGCAGCAGCACCAUCCACAUCCAACAAUUUCAAUAAGGUAGGAAUUUGUUUGAUUGUUUCUACCUUCUAGUGUAACAAAUUAUUUGAGUCCACACACACACACAGUAAUAUUAAGAAUGGAUUUGUUUGAUACUUGGAUUGCUUUUCAUUUUUACCUUGUUUCCUUGUCCUGUAAUUUCUGAUUUUGCAUGUUUAACUGUAAAACAAGUAGGUGGAUCAGUUCUUGCUAAGAAAUGUAAGCAUAAUCAUUACCGUCACUUUUGUUUGUGGACCACAACGAAUAUGUGGAAUUCUGAAAAUUGGGAAGUGCUGUGUUUCUCUUUUUGUUCAUGCUUGCUGAAAUAAUGUUAAUUUGUUUUUUGGCAGUCUUUCGAAGAUCCAUUUGGUGACACACCAUUUAAGGCCAGUCCUUCCGCCGAAACUGCUCCAUCUCAACCCCAGACACAUCAGAGUCUUGAACCAUCCCAGUCAAGUGGUCCUAAUGUAGAAGCAGUCUCUAACUUUGGAUUUGGAGAGUCAUUUUCUAUUGUACCAUACUCUACAUCUGGUGCCAAUGGCACCCAGCCUUUCUCAACAAACUCGGUGUUUUUACCUCAAGAUUUUUCUACUCCACCACAGGAAACUGAUAUUCUUGCAGACAUUCUCCCUCUUGCACCAUUACCUUCACAGCAGAGUUCAGCUCCUCCUGAUUCACACUCUUCACCUUCCUUUUCAGAUCCAUUUGGGCAAACGGCAUCACAUUCUUCUUUUGUACAGUCUGGCCAACUUACACAGCAAGGUUUCUCAGCCCCAGCCAGUCAACCUGCACCACACGCCUUUUCAGUUCCCAGCAGCCAAUAUGCUCAGCAGGUCUUUUCAGCUCCUAGUGGCCAACCGGUACAACCAUCUUUUUUGUCUCCCACCGGUCAACAUGCACAGCAACCCUUUUCAGCUCAUGCCGGUCAACCUGGACAGCAAUCCUUUUCAGCUCAUGCCGGUCAACCUGGACAGCAAUCCUUUUCAGCUCAUGCCGGUCAACCUGGACAGCAAUCCUUUUCAGCACCUCCAAGUGGCCAACCAGUGCAACCACCUUUUGUAUCUCCCACCAGCCGACAUGUACAGCAACCCUUUUCAGCUCAUGGUGGUCAACCUGGACUGCAACCCUUCUCAGCUCAUGCCGGUCAACCUGGACAGCUGCCAUUUUCAGCUCAUGCUGGUCAACCUGGACAGCAGCCCUUUUCAGCUUAUGCUGGUCAGCCUGCACAGUCAAGUGGACAUAUGUAUGGUGGAUUCCACUCUCGGGCUGGAUCUCUGACUCCAGGAGCUUCAGGCAUGUUUCUGCCACAAGGAUCUACGUCUAUUUCUUCACACACGGCUCCCCGAGCUCCAACGGGGCAUCCGUCACAGAAUGCAAACUAUUUUCCACAGCAAGGAGGAUUUACUGGUCAUGGUACUUCCCCUUUGGCUUCCCAGUCUGCAACUGGUCAAGCAUCACAAGGGAAUGCACCUCCCUCUACCCAUCAACUAUCACCAUUUGGUGGAUCAAGUUCUAUGGUUUCUCAAUCUUCCAAUAACAAGUUUGAGACAAAAUCAACAGUUUGGAAUGAUACACUAAGCAGGGGACUAGUUAAUUUGAAUAUAUCUGGCGGUGGGUGCUUAUACCUUCUCAAACCCACCCUACUGUUUUUAACAUUUCAGUUUCCAUAGCGAAGCUUUAGUUAGAUUGUUGAUCUUAUAUUUCCAUAUGUGCAGCUAAAAUAAACCCAUUAGCAGAUAUUGGAAUUGAUUUUGAUGCCAUCAAUAGGAAGGAAAAGAGGAUGGAGAAGCCGACCACGACAGCUGUAACAUCAACUGUAACCAUGGGUAAAGCCAUGGGAUCUGGCUCAGGUAUAGGCCGGGCUGGUGCUGGUGCUCUCAGACCUUCACCAAACCCAAUGGGUAUGCAAAGCUAUGGAGGUAUGAAUGUACCAAUGGGUAUGGGGCAAGGACUCCAGAUGCAACCACCUCGUGGGCCCAACAUUAACCUACCAGGUAAUUAUAAUAACUCCAUGAUGGGAACAGGACCAGGUGGUUAUCCUCAACAACAGCAGCCUUAUGGUGGUGGCGGCGGCCACCGAUGAGAUUGAUCCUUAUACGUAGAUAGCAAUUUGAAGCGUAUCAGAUUGUGCAUUGUACUUAGAUAGCAAGGUAAGUUGAGUUAUAUGAGUGAUGGCAUGUGCUACCACUCCAAGUAAAUACACGAAUUUUCGACCUGCUAGUGUGAUGUAUGCUUAUUCUUGUGUUUCAUAAAUAAUUUCCAUUUUUAGGUCACGUUUCUAUAGGUGCUUUGUGGCAUAAGUGAGUGUGGUGCACCAGUGACUGCAUAGAAUAACCAUGGAUUGGGUUAUUGCCUUUUUAGUGUAUUUUUCAUCUAUAUUUUCAACACCAACCAGGGAUGUAAUUUGAUUUAUUCCUUUUCCAUUGUGUUUUUCUUUUCAUCUAUCAAUGUUUAGGAGUUUUAUGUAGUUGAUUUCCUGCUUAAGAUAUGUGAUAAGUAGGUACAUAAUAUCACUCGAAUACAAGUCAUCAAUCUUACCGACGCUCGUACCCAUAUCCAUGCUACGAAGGAAGAUUGAUUUAUUUCAAAACUCGUCAAAUAAAAGAGUCCCUCAAAUUUCUAACUACAACUAUUUUCAAUCUUCAAAUAAUAGGGCAUGAACAAAAACACCAUCUACAUGAAUUGGAGGAAAUCAAAUUAAAAGGUGUGCUGGUUUUUUAGCCUUGGAGAAGCUGUGAAAAAAGUAGAAUUUGGAGUAACAUAUGCAUUUUUUGAGGAGGAUUCUUCCUCCUGAUUACUUCACUUCUUCUAUGCACCUAUACUCUAGGCCCACUUUCUUAAGCUACCUAAGUUUUUGAGCUUCUAGCCCCAAUUCCUUUACUAUUAAUUUGUGAGUUGGUUUCUCUUGUCAUCUUUAGUUAAAGCAAGUGGUUGCUCUUAACGGAAUAAGAACAUUCGUAUUCUGUUUUUCACUGUGUCAUUCUUAUUUUCUAAUUUUUGUUUUUAAAUAAGAACAAGUUUUGGUUGUUUUUAGCCGAUGGAAGGUGACGAGAGAGGUAAAUGUUGCAGGGAAAAAGUAAAUGUCGUAGGACCCAAAUAAGAAUAAGAAUAAUGUUUAUUAUUAUGAGAAAAAAAAUAUAUGUUGUUCUUAUUUUAUAGGGAGUUGUAAUAAAUUAUAAAAUAAUAUAUGAGCCCAAAUAAGAAUGAAAUUGUUGUUCUCCAUUGUAAAUGCUAUUAGAAGGGUAAUAUCAAAUAAGAUCAGCUAACACUCUUGCUCUACUUAAGCAUGCAAAGGAAGCAUCGUUCGGCCCUUGGAACAUGUAGAUAAGUCUAUUCAAAAGCAGUUUUAUAACCCUUUUGGGCCAUGUUAUAUAUAUUAUAUUUUAGUAUUCUCUUUUUCCAAGCUUUUCAAUUUUUUUUUUUAAAGUUUUUCGUAAAAAUAAAUUAUAAAAAAUGAGACAAAUGUCUAGAAAGUCAAUUUAGGAUGUGGGCUAGUCAACUAAAUAUCGAAACCAAUAAAAAAUAAUUUUAAGUUGGAUAUCUUGGAUAAAAUAUUAGAUAAGUGUUGGACUAGAUUUUUGGUCUCAAAUUGAUAUAAUUUUCUUAAUACAUGGUGGGGUAAGAUUUGAAUAAUGUCAUCAUGUUUGAAGUUGGAUUUUAGAAUAUUUUUUAUAUAACUAAGAGUAUCUUUUAUCCUAUAUAAGGAAUAAAAUUAAUCUAUUUCAAGUUACAUGAAUGCCUAUUCUAAUAAGAGUCACUCCCAUGAAUUGAUCUUUUAACUUAUUUAUGAUAGUGAAUUUAACGAAUGUAGCGUAAGAGGUUGUGGGUUUGAGUCCCAAAAUGGGAGUUAUAAGGUGGUUAUGGUGAAGGAGAUCGAAGGUAAAGUAUCAUCCACGACAAAAUACUAACGUGCUAACAACUAAUAUACUCACAAUUUGCUGAUUUUAAAAAUGGACACAUUCAUAAAUUAACUCCUUGUUACUUUUUUGGUAGUUAGAUUUUAGUUUUUUGUGGGGAACGAGUAAGUGAGAAAAUUUAACAAGAGGUAGAUAUAAAAUUGAGUGAAUUUUUGUUUAACAAGUACAUAUUUUUUGAUUUUCCACAUAUAUUUUAACUACCAGAGGUAAUCUUGUCCGAGUCGGAAAUAAUAAAACAGGAAAAAAGAAAAAAAGAUGUGAAUUGAGAGUGGCAUGAAUAUACACAUGUGUCACCACCUCACAUUCCAAUUCCAAUCUAUUACCAUAUAUCAUAGGAUACGCGUACAAACCUUAUUCUCUUUGCAAAAUUGUAAGUAACCCUAGAUUAGGGUUUGUUCAUCCCCUUUCAUUCUCAAUUUCGCCGUCACCGUAACUAUGGAUCGAAAGAGGGGAAUACAUGCUCCUUCUUCUGCUUUCAAUGCUAAUGGCUCCGCCAAGAAACCUCGCCAAGGUUCAUCUUUUCUUCAAUUUCUUUUAAAGUUUUUUUCCUCUGUUUUCUGCUAUGAUAUUUGCUUUUGUACUAUUUAUACUCAUAUUAACUCUUAUAAUUAAUGGCCGAGCCACAAGGUUAACGAGAUCUUGUUUAAAACGCUAAAAUCACACAUCAAACUCUUUCGAUUUUUCCCCUUCUCUUUUAUCAAUAUUUCACAUCUUUAUCACGAUGAUGUGUAUUUGGUUUAGAUACGAAAACAAUUUAAAUCUUAAUGUCAAAAUUUCCAGAUUUAAAAUUUCAGUGUUUUUCCACUCAAAUAUAGGUGUAGAAAACAACUUAUGUGUCGUGAAACAUAUUCCUCCUCUUAAGAGUAUCGAUUUGGAGGAAUGUGAACCAAACACACUCUUAAUUGAAAUACCGCUUAAACAGUAAGAAGAAAUGGUUAUUGGAUGCUAUUUAAGUUGAAGCAUAAAAAGUCAAUGGAAUUUUAACUAAGCGGACUUAAAUUAAUGUUCUGUAACAGAAAUGGAGUCCUUUACAACUGGUAUAGGAAGCAAAUCGAAGCCAUGCACAAAGUUUUUCAGGUUCAAAUCUUUAACUUGUCUAAAAUUAAAUCCAAAUGCAAUUCAGUAUAUGUAUAAAUUUUCGAAUGUUCCAGUAAAAUUUUGGUACACAAUCUAUGCAACCACAAUCCCUAUGAUUUCACUAAUGAAUUAUUGGGUAGUUAAAGCUGUGAUACAGGUUCUACUUCUAAUCAUGAUAACAAGACUAUGAACAGAAUUUGUUGAUUCUCAAGAUCACUUUGCUUAAGUGCUUUUUGGGCUAUAUAUAAAUUGAAAGCAGUUCUACGGAACACAAAACUUGACCUGCAUAUAAUGGUUGUAUACAAUUUUUGCAACUAAAGAAGUCUGGUGCAGAUCACUGAAAUGGAUAGAGCUGUACAUGGCCUAUCUAUACAACAAAAAAUAACUGGAUUGAUGCUUGGAAGCAUACAUUACAUACUUCAUUAUGGGUUUUGGUUUCAAAUCUUUAAAUUAUUUGACGUUCAAAACAUAUCCAUGAUAUAAUGAUGAUAAUUUGAUGCCUGUGACUGUACUACUUAUCUCUUAUGUGUUGCUAAUAUGUUUGUUAUUUUAUAUUGUGAGUAUUUUUUGUUCCUUUACUUGAGGAUUGCUAUUUACUGCUAAAUGUCUUCAGUUGAGGAUAAACUCUAGCUUGGAGAGUAACAUGACAUCUAUUAAAAGAGAUCAAACACCAAAGAAAACUACAAGUGAAAUACAAAGCAUUAAUCUUAGGAAGAGUAUACUGAAAAUAAUCAACUAUCUGUAUGAGAAAUCGAAUUUUUUGUGUGUAACUAAUUAUUGCUGAUUGAAAGCAUGUUGCACAGAUUUGUGUAACCUUUUGGAUUGUUUUUCUUACAUGUAUAUUUCUAUGAUCCUUCUAUUGACUUUUAGAAAUUUAUUUUGUUAAAAAGAUGGUAGGAUCUUGGGAGCUUCGUUCAGAUCAUAUGAUUUGAUUGUUGGGUCAUCUUGAUUGGUUCCAACUAGUUAGUAGAAUAUAGAGUUUGACAUCCUUCCCCUGCUUGUCAAAAGAAUUUAAAACUGAGCAAACCUUUGCUAUGUUCAUGCUGACACUUAUGUUGAUCAUUUGCAAAAUUUUCACCCUUCUAUGUAUGUAUGACCUCUGAUUGAUGAAGGCUGCUUACUAUAUAUUUUUAGUUUAACCAUGGAAGUACUUCUUUAUCCAUACAUAUUCUGUUUUUUAUUUUCUUUAAUGUUGUCACUUUUUUAUUACUUUGUUUGUGUUUGUAUACUUGUACACUAUGUGAAUGCUUGUUUAUGUUACGUCUCUUGCUACCGGAGGUCCUAGAUGCUAUGAAAAUUCUGAAUACUCCAUUGCCUUUCUUUCUAAGUUAGAAAAAGAAGACAUAUUAAAACUCUAGAAAUAAGGAACAUGACUAUGACUUGGGAAAAUGGGAUAAGAAGAUACUUGUGCUAUAUGGAUUCUCUGUAUAUUAUAUUUUGUUAAUGUGUAUCUUUAAUGUUCACUUAUUUAAUAGUUAAGCUGUGGGAAUCAGGAACUGUAGUGUUAACAUUUGUAGGCUGUCAUGUUUUCUUUUAGUUUUUUGAAAAACCAUAUGGUUUCUAUAUUAUUUGAUUAGAGGUUGCUUGGUGCAUCUUGUGAAUUCGAUGUUCCAUGCUAGAAUCUGUUGCAUAUGAUCAUCACUGUAGUUGCUGGUUAAUGCUAUUAAGGGACUUACAUCAUUGCUUUUUCUGGGUUUUAAAAUUUGGUUCAUAAAUAGUUCUUUUAGAUUUACUUCUAUGGUCGUGACAGGCUUUGAUAUUUGUCAUGCCCCUUGUUGUACUUGGAGUCACUUGUAUUUAUCCAUUUAAUCUAUGUUGUAUCUACCUGAUUAUCAUGCAACCAUGCUGUAUUCUUUCACUUUGUAAUAAGGAUGCUUUAAACUUUCAAGACUGUUAUCUUAUUUGUGAUGCAUUAUCUGGGUGUGGCUUUCUUUCCUUCUAUAUUAUGCUAUGCUAAAUUUAAUGCAACCAUGCAGUACUUAUUUAUUUAUUUUGGAGGGCCGGAGGGGGUUCAAGUUUCCGUUCAUACUUGAAAAACUAGACUGUCAUUUUACUGAGGUCCAUUAUAAUUUUGCUAAUGUUAUUAGAUGUUCAUAUGUUAGUUUGAUGUCAUCUGUUUUCAUAUAUUAUGCAGUACCUCUGGCUGUCCAUUUGGUGAGGGAUGUCAUUUCCUGCAUUAUGUUCCCGGUGGCUUCAAAGCUGUCUCUCAGGUGAUGAACGUUGGUAGCAGUCCUGCUAUUCAACAAGGUGGCAGAAAUCAAACGGCUCCACCUUCCUUCCCCGAUGGGUCUUCUCCUCCAGCUGUUAAAAACCGGUUGUGCAGCAAGUAUAAUUCUGCUGGAGGUUGCAAAUUUGGUGACAAAUGUCACUUUGCCCAUGGUGAGUGGGAGCUUGGCAAACCUACAGCCCCAUCAUAUGAAGAUCCUCGUGGCUUUGGACAAAUGCAAAGCAAUAGGAUUGGUGGCCGAUCUGAUCCCCCACAUCCAUCUCAUGGAGCUGCCGCCGGCUUUGGAGCAUCGGCCACUGCUAAGAUUAGUAUCAAUGCAUCUCUAGCUGGAGCUGUCAUUGGAAAAAAUGGUGUCAACUCUAAGCAAAUUUGCCGCAUAACUGGAGCAAAACUUUCUAUUAGGGACCAUGACUCAGAUCCUAACCUUAGGAACAUUGAGCUUGAAGGCAGUUUCGAUCAGAUCAAACAAGCCAGUGGCAUGGUUCAUGAACUUAUUCUAAAUGUCAGUUCUAGUGCCGCUGGACCUCCAAUGAAAAACUUCACUUCACAGAGUCAUUCCCCUGCAAACAACUUCAAGACUAAGAUGUGUGAAAACUUUGCUAAGGGAAAUUGCACAUUUGGGGACAGGUGCCACUUUGCACAUGGACCAAAUGAAUUACGUAAGUCUGGAAUAUGAUGCAUGUUUCUUCAUUCUUGUUCCUUUUAACAUUUGAGGACAAACAAUUAUAAUUUAGCUUGAUUUUAGUGAGGAUUGAAUUGUGCAGGAUUUUCUAGUUUUUUGAAAUUUGUCACAUGGUAACUAAUGGUAAUUCUUACCUUAGCUUCUAAAAUUCAAGCGCCCCUUUCAAAGGUGCAGUCUGCAAUGUUACAAUAGUCAUUUUAAUUUUUUUUGGUACUACCAAGGGUAUCAUGUGACCUUUUUGGGUAAUGAAUUAAUCUAUUUCAGGGUGUGUGGCUGACCCUCGCAAUAAGUAUCGCUCACAAGAAACGAAUUAUUGAUGUUGAUAAUUCUAGGGAUCUAGUUGUGAACAUUUAUGGUGAACAUUUAUUGGAUGUUUCUUCAUAAAACAACUUAUUCAAUAGGUAAUUAAAAAAUAAAGAUAAGAAGAAAGAUAUGUAUAUAUAUCUUUUACUUAUAUGAUAUAAAUUCAAAAAAAAAUUGUUAUAAAAUAUUUUUUAUUUAUUUUGUUCAGUAGAACACAUUACUUCACACAUGAUAUUAAUAACUUAUAACAUUAAAUAUGCAUAGAUUCUAAUAUGUCUAUCAAAGUUCCAACCAUUGCAUCCUUCAUUUAAUAUUUCGUGGGCUUCUUUCAUGCCACAACUUGUAUUAAUUUGUGAUGUUGGUAAUGAUGUGAUAGCACGUAAUAACAAUAGCUUGCCGAGAAGUCUUAAUUAGUGGAGACAAACAAACAAUGCAUAAGAUCUUAAAUUAAUGCAUGUGGUUACUAAACAUAAUGUGAUCUCUCUUGGCUUUCUGGACUUCUGAAAUAGCGAAAUAAUAUUCUCACAUCAAUUUUUUUUAACUAAUUUCAUAUUGAUAAUAAGCAUACAAAUAAUAAAUUAUGGACCAAAUAUAUUAUUCUAUGUGGGCAGAAUGAUUUAUAUUCUAAUUAGUUAAGAGCUUUUAAUAUUUUUCUCAGAGAUGUGUUUUAUAGGACAUAACGUAUGCCUCCCACUUAGAAUUUAAUGGGAUAAUAAAUCAGAUAAGCAGAUAAUAGGAAUUUGUUAAAUGGAUGGUACACAAUGAGUGAACCAUUGUAUUGCAACCUAAAUAUUGGCCAAACAAAAUAUAUGGAGCUGAAGGUUGUGAAUGCUAUUUGGGUAUUAAGCUUAGUUUUGUGACCUGUUGCUAGUGGAUUUACAAUGAAUAACGAUCAUCUCCAUUAAUGAAGAGGUAAGUAGUUGUUUUUACACAUAUUUGUAAUAGUAAAAAUGUGAUUUCAUAGUAAGUAAAUGGAUAAAAAUAUUAUUACAUGUUGUAUUUUUGUGUGUUAUUAUGUAACAGUUAUCUCUCUAUGGAGAAGAUCACCCAUUUACAAUAGUGCAGUAUUAGGCUGUUGGGACCCUAUCUUAUUUAUUAGGCUAUGUUUUUCUUAAUGUGAUGUAAUGUUAUAGAUGAAAAUGACAUACACAUACAAAGUCAAGGACAAAAGUGACACUUUAGUCUUUAUAAACCCCACAUAUACAUAUGGAAAUGGAAUGAUUUAACUAUAGUAUAAAUAGAUAAUUUACUAGGUAUUCAUAAAUCAUUGCAGUGGACUAUAUGAUUAGAGAUAUUUUGUUAUUCAACACACUUAAAUUGGCGAACAAAUUAAAACCUCACAUUUUACCAGACUAAGAACAUAAAAAAUGUGAUAAAUAUGGUUGUAGCUUAUAUGAAUAAUAAAAUCCAGAGUUUUUAAUAUGACACAUUACACAUGUAAGGGUGCUGAUCAAUCUACCUUUUAGAAAAUCUGUAUAAAAUAAGAGAACUUGUAUGGCUACUGUUUCAGAAGAUAGAAUUUAUCAUCUUAGAACAAGUGCAACAUUUUCAGAUUAGUGGAUCCCACAAUAUAGCUGCAUGGCAUUUAUAUAAGAUUAAUCCAUUAAUCUAAAAUCAACUACAAAGAUACCUCUUGUACCAUGCAUCUAUUAAUUUCUCUAGAGUGAACAGUGUAAGAGGUGAUGUAACAUUUUGAUGUGCAAAUAACAUCACUCCUACCUUAGUUUCUGCUAUAUUGGGUGAGUUGAGAGAGAAUGAAGUCACCAUUCUUGGUUCCAUUUGCAGCAUGCAAGUGAACUACUAAGCCAGCCAAGCAAAAAAGCUGAUUAACAAAAAAGUGAUUAUUCCAUAAAAAUGAGUAGCAUGCACAUAAAAUAGGAUGGUGUAGGAAAGAUAUACAUAGGGAACAACAACUUAUAAAGAACUAAGAAAGGUGGUACAGAAGAAAAAGCACUUACAAGUUAAAAUGCAAAGAAUAUUAUGUAUGAAGAUGAAGAAAAGGGUUGAUGAAAGUUGAAUUAUAGCAUGCAAUAUAUAAGGGAACAUUGGGGAGAAAGGCAUAAGGGAUGUCACUUUCUAAUUAAGGUUUAUUAUUGAUAUGGCUUGGCCAAAAGAUAAAUGUUACAUCCAUGUCUCUCAUACUUAUUUAUCAUAUAAUUAGAGUAUAAAAAAUGUUUUGGACUCGACUCAUUUAUAGUAAAAUGGUGAUUAUUGUGAAAUUGUCAUGUAAUAUGUAAGUAAGGGGUUUGAAUAUUUAUCAACUAAAUCUAUGAUUGGGGAGAAUGAGUUGGUGUUAUCCUUAAGGGACUAAGCGAAAAUCUAUAUAAAUGAAUUUUUUUAUUUUAAAAUCUUAAAAUAAUAGAUUUAUAAAUCCAUCUACUUUUAUGUUUUUGGUAUUAACAAGAGUAUUUCAUCAUCUAUGAGCACAAAACUAAUUUAUUUUAGAGUUAUGACUGUCUCUUUCAACAAAUCUUGAGAUCAUCCUGAGAUCUAGAGAUGAAUUCAUGCCUGUCACUUGGGAUUUCUCUUUCCACUUGACAAUAAAUGUUUUUGGUACUAUCAAAAGUAUCUUAUAAGUAAAGAACUAAUCUCUUUUGGAGUUCUUGAUUGUCCCUUCCAAUAAAUGUCGUUGACAAUAAAAAUCGUAAAAACUCAUGAGUGGGGUGGAGACUUGGGAGUUGGGAUUUCUCUUUCAACUUGACAAUGAAUUUGAUAUCUUCUGGUCCUUUUCAAAUUUCAAUUUUCUUCAAAUAUUUGAUAGCCACACUUCAAUCUCACUAUUGUAAGUGUAGUAAAUAAUUUCCUAUUUCAUCAAUUAUGCAUUAGAACUUUCAUUCACCUUAUUAUUCACAACCAUGAAGUUAUGUCUAAUCACAUGUAUGAAGACAUGUAUUUUCUUAAUGAAUAUCUAUCUAGCUUUACAAUCAAAUAUGUUGUUUACUUAUAUAAACAUAGGAGAUUCUGUUUAAUAAUGUUGUUUUUUUGAAUAAUGUAAGCAAAAACAUGCACUCAAUACCCAACUUUAACUAGUACCUAUCUAGGAUAUAUAUUUUUUGAAAAAUGAUAUAUUUUCCUACUAGAUGCACAUAUUCACGAGAGAGUAACAUAUAUCAAAAAAUGAUAUUUUAUUUAUUAAUGAUUGAUUUACAAGUAAUAUAUAUAUAUAUAAUUUUUUCGUAGGUAGAAGAAUUUAUAGGAAAAUAUAUCAUUACUCAUAAUUUUUUUACAAUUUCGUAAAGUCAUUUCCACAUACAAAUAAUGCAAACUUUAAAGUUGACAUCUCUUUCUUGGAUUAAUACACAAACCCUUUGCUGAAAAAAUCUAAGAAAAAUAAUUAUACAAGUCAUAUUCAUAUAUAGAUACUAUCAAUUUGGUUGUCACAAAAAUAGUGAGACUCGAGGGAUAUUAUGUCAAUCAACAAUAAUUACGAUUGUUUAAGUGAAAAGACUUUAAAAGUUGGUUUUAAUUUUUAUGUCAAUCAACAAUAACUAAGUUGGUUCUAACAAAUAUUUAAUGCAGUAAAAAGCAUUAGAAUUAUAAUUCUAGGAGAAUGAAUCUCAACAAAUUUAAAUGACACAUUUUCAAUCACAAUGUGCAAAACAACAUUGUGAGCUAAAUAGAUUAAUUAGUUUGGAGAAAAAUAGAUUAUUUGACAUUUGUUAUGCUAAAUUAAGCCAAAGCCACUUCAGAUUUGUUUUCUUCAUAACAUAAUAGAAACCAUUUGAACUUAACUAUGUUGUUAGUUGUUAGUUGUUACUACUACCAAAUUUAGUUAGUAAAAUUAUUACCAUUUUCUACAACAGAUUAUCAUAAUUGCAGGGUUAAUUUCAAUCAUAAAUCAAUAACCAAAGUAAACAACAAUGUAUCUAUCUUAUUCUCUAUCCUUCUCCAUCCAUAUACUGAAUUUUUCAAUUUGAAAGGUAGCAAAAAACAUAGAAAAGUUCUGAAAAAGAGUUAUAUGUUCAUAUGUAUAUGAUUUAAGCAUGAUUUCAAACUCUAGGAUAAAUGGCAGCUAUGAAACUUCAGGUUCUAAUGCUAUCAAUCUUGCAUUUGAUGCGCCGAAACGCGUAAGGCACGAAGAGAAGAGAAUGCAGGGUUUCUAAAGUUCAAAGGUGUUGUGCCUCAGCAAAAUGGGCAUUGGGGUGCACAAAUAUAUGCAAAUCACCACAGAAUCUGGCUAGGGACAUUCAAGUCAGAAAGAGAGGCUGCAAUGGCUUAUGAUAGCGCGACGAUUAAGCUUCGAAGCGGAGAAAGCCACAGAAACUUUCCAUGGAAUGAUCAAUCAGUUCUAGAGCCUCAGUUUCAAAGUCCUUAUAGCACAGAAGCAGUGCUUACCAUGAUAAAAGAUGGAACCUACCCAUCAAAAUUUGCUACUUUUCUUAGGACCCAAACACAAGUUGAUGAAGAAUUUGGUGUUGUUAGUAACAAAAGUAAACAUAUAAGAAUGAAGGGUCAUGAGGAAAACUUGUCCUGCACCUUACUUUUUCAAAAAGAAUUGACACCAAGUGAUGUAGGGAAACUCAAUAGGCUUGUGAUACCAAAAAUACAUGCAGUUACAUAUUUCCCUAAUGUUUUUGGCAUUGCAGAAGCUAAGAAUAAUGAAAUGGAUGUUGAUAUUGAGGUUGUCUUUUAUGACAAGCUCAUGAGAUCAUGGAACUUUAGAUAUUGUUAUUGGAAUAGCAGCCAAAGUUAUGUGUUCACAAGAGGGUGGAACAGGUUUGUGAAGGAUAAGAAAUUAAGGGCUAAAGACAUCAUUGCUUUUUAUGUGUGUGAACCUAUAAACUUGAGAAGAGGGGAAGAAAGUUUUUCAUUGAUAGAUGUAAUAUAUUAUAAUGAAGAUCAUGAGAAAAAGCAAUGUUUUGAAGAGAAGGAAGAUGCAAAAAAAGCUUUAGGGAACAUGUUAAGUUCAAGUGAUGAAGUAGAAGAAAAAGAUGAAGGACAAGAGACCAAGGAUAUAAAGGAUUUUGAUGCACUGCAUUCACCAAAUAAUAGUGCACAGAAAGGUUUGAGGCUCUUUGGUGUUUGUAUCAGCUGAAAAAAUAGUUUAUUAUUCAAUGGUAUAUAAAUCUUUACACCGUCAGUGCAUAGAUAUUACACCCAUGAACAAAUUUCUUUGACACAUGAUAGACCAUGCUUACAUUUUCCUUAACUUUUAUAAUUAUAAAAGCUGUGGCUAAUAAACUAUCUUGAAUCUUAAUUCAGUUUUCAUUUGAUCCAUGGCAUCAUUGUAAAGGAAAAAUUAACUCAUUAUUGAAUGCUUAUAGUUUGUGUUAUAUUAUUUGACUUGUUGAUCAUGUAUAUUAGACUGUUAUUUGUGUAGUAUAGUAUACCCCUUUCUAAUUUCUAAAUGUAAAAAAUUGCAAGCAUUUGUGCUGAUUGAAUGAUAUAAUAUUGUACAUAGGUUUAAAAACAUAAAUAACCAUGUCUUGCAUGCUUAAUUUACAAGUUAAUAUCUCAUGUUCCACAAAAUUGGACCAAGGCCUAGCAGCUACACUACUUAUUUAUAAAAUAGCAAUAGAAAACAUAGCUAUCACAAUGGUUCAAACUCACUAAGGUCAUGAAUGUUGAUAUGAAGGAGCAAAACUCUUUCUUGGUAAAUUUGAACCUUCAAGUACUCUAACACCACCCACAUAAUCAUUCUGCCAUUUCUUCCUGCCGAUUUCUUGAUCCAUUGAUUGCCCUUGUGAAAAGGGAGGAUCUCCAUCUGGUUUAAAGGAAGAGAGUUGAAGGAACAAAGUAAAAUAUGUUAUCGAAUAUGUUUUCCGGUUACUAGAUAGACAGUGAGAUACUAUUGUAUUUCAUCAUCAUAUGCUUGAAUACUAUAGGGAGAAUAUUAAAUAAGAAAACUUGACUCUGGUUGUUGCUGGUUUACUUGCAAUGUCAGAAAAUUAAGAUACAAGAUAAUGUGGUGAAAUUUCAUUUAAUUCCACAUGAACAAAUUUCUAGCAACUUAGUUAUUACCACUUUCACCAUCUGAAACAUCACCAAGCUUGGCAAUUGCAUCGACAAGGGCCUGUUCGUGUUCCUGCAUUUCAAAGGGAGCGGAAGCUCAUCAUGAUUGUAGAAAAUAAAACGAAAAGUAAAUAGUGCAGAUGGGAAUUCAGAGAAAAUGGUUGAUCCUCACUUUCAGCACUUUCUUUGCUUUCUCCAUUUCCACGGGAUCGGGAUGACUGGCGCUAAAAACCCGUUCAACCUGAUUUGGUUCCAUUUCAUUAGAUUAUAUCAAGUAACCAAAUAUGUGUAUCCUUUAGAGAAGUAGCCAAAUCUAACAGUAAUAGAAAUAUUAUAAAAUUCUGUUGCAUAUGCUCAUACCUUCUGGAUAAGGGUAUCUGUGUGGAGUAUCUCUAUAUAACCUGUAGGCUUCUUCCGGCUCCCAUUCUGCGGCAAAAUGAAAUCUUUCUUAGGCUGAGACUUUGUAAUUCCCCGACCCCUUCCAGCAUCUGUAACUGCACCACCACUGGACAUGGACUUCUUCAUCCCUCUACCUGAACCAGACCGACCACCUUUAUGGGGUAUUCUAGGAUCCAGAUCUUCACCUUCCCAACGAAUAUCUUCUGGCGAUAUCUACAAUGACAAACAAAUAGUUACUAACUGAGAUUUUGCCAUUGAGCGAGUGAUAGUUAGUGAGAAGAACACGUACUCUUAGUUGACUCGUACAAGCAAAUUGAUAGAGAAAAAUGAAAAGAAAAGCAAAGAGACACGAAGCCGACAGAUCGGAAAACACUUCAAUAGGAUAAGAAAAUUGAUAUACAAUUUGCACUAAAAAAGAACAAACAUCUGUGAUAAAUAACUGACAGGAGAAACCGGGAUAUUGGUAUUCCAGCAUUGCAAGAAGUGAUGUAAUUUUGCAAGGUAGUGUAUUUUCUUGACUUUAGUGCAUGAUUAAAAUUAAGACACCGUCUAACUGACGGUAACCAAUAAAUGUGAAGAACAGGCUUAUUAACGUUUUGAUAUUACUAUGUUACUGCAAUGUAGCCUGAUCUAUACUUUAGGACGAAUUAUCCUAUAUAUGAUUGAAGUUUAUUUGUUUGCAUCAAUUAUAGAUACUUAUACAAGGGAAAUCACCCACAGUGAUGGCCCAAACCAGCCAAGGAUAUUGACUAUAUGGCAAUACCUUCAUCUACAAAAACAAACUACAUUUAAGACAGACAUAUAAUGUUUAUCUUAUUAAAUUUACAAGAUCUCUCAUGUCCAUUUCAAGGGUUGAGAUUCAACAUAUAAGACAUAGACAUCAUGUUAUAAGUUAGGGAUGUGAAAAAAUAAAGCUCCGGAUAUAUUUGUCAGGCAGAAAAUAAUCCUUACAAAAAAGAGUCACGCUAAAACUAGAUGGCACAUAAUUACCAUUUACCACAGACCGAAGAAUAUUGCAAGAAUUUUACCUCUUUAAGAUUGACCCACUCCCAUGUUUCAUCUACUGAAUUCAUAUCAUAGACCAAAGCAUGUCGUCCCUGCCAAAUAUUUAAUUAGAUUAACUAAGGCCCAUGUUUUAUGAAGUUUCUUGUAGUUGACAAUAACAGUAUAACACACCUCAGCAGGAUUAUAAUCAGUAAUAACAGCUUCAUAGAAGUGAUUGUCAUCAGGCCACCUUGUCCAAACUUUUUUUCCAAUCAACAGAUCAUACGAGGAAGGAGCAGGUCCAUUUGUUGCAAUGGCACCCGAAGAACCCCCUCGAUUAGCAACCUGGCUUCUGCUAGCGACUCCUGCGGAAGGUAACUGUAUGGACUUCAUUGAGGAUGCACUAGUCAAUGUCUUUUUUUUUAUAUAUAUGUUAUUUAAGAAUGGAAAACAAUGAACAGUUGAACACAGAGGAAUCAGUAUCUAGCAUUCAUUUUCAUGAUCUUUCAAUACUGAAACACUUACUGGUUUUGGCUUCUUGGUCUUUGCUCCGGAUGGGAGCCCAUUCCUCAACGCGGAAGAUGUUGGUUGCAUAGGUGGAUGAACUACUGGCGAUGGUGCACCCAAGGAUAAUGAAGCCGCAGAUUGUGAUGUUUUUUGUUUCUUAUGAGACGCUGAAAUGAUCGGGCUGGGUACGUGGUCAUGAACUGUUUGAGCAUUAUUUACGGUGCCAGGAUGGACUCCUCCACCCGCCUUUCUCCACUCCCUAACAAUACAUUUGGUUACACCCAAAUAAAAAAUAAACCAUUUUUCUCAAUAGUACACACAAACUGCUGAACAGAAAAUGACAAGACAUAAUAUGACCUUAUCCUGCGGAUUUUGUCUUCAGAAUUUACUCUGGAUAGAAGUUCUCUGUGUUCUUCAUCCGAUACUCUCAGCUCACUCCUUAGCUCUGUAAUUAAACUUUGUUUUUCCUGAAGUACGUAGGCACAAAAUAAAACUCAAUUGUUGAUCCUAUCCAACAUAUUUUAUCGAAAUUGGAACCAAUGGAUCAAGACAACGGUACCCAAGUAAUUGCAUCAGACUGAGCUUUAAACGCCCUCAACAUAGAGGUGUAUGCUUCUUUCUCAAGGCUGUGGAUCUGGGUUUCCAUCUCAUUCUGCAUUGUAGGAAGUGCACCAGAGCCUACAACUGCUGAUCUUCCAUUUCCAGCAAUACAAUCCGGUCGUUGAAAUCGAUUUUUAUGGGAAGGAGGAAGAUCAUCAUCUGUUCCUGCAUGUGUUUCAGAUAAUGGAAAUUAAUAUGUGUGCAUGACACCUUACACUUUUCUAAUAAGCAAUCACUCAAAGAAAAAACAAAAAAGAAAAGGAAAAAAGGAGAGUGGAGAAAUUAAAAGAUGAUUGAGCCAUGUUAGUAGAAAAGUAAGAAACAAAAGAAUAAAAAGAACAAAAAGCAUGUACUAUCUAUGUUUUGUUUCAAGUCCUGUCCUAUUGUGUCCAAAAGCAGAUCAUAUUAGAUAAUGAACCCUUGCUUUAAAAUCAGAUUGACUAUAAUAGAAUUUAUGUCCUAGAAAGUAAUAAGAUAAAUACUAUAUCAGCAUCAAUCAGGUUCAUUCUAAGAUUUAGGACACAUUCACACAUCAUAUGUGACACUAUACUUCAAAUCUUUUAAGUCAAGACUCAACUAUAAUCAGUGUGUAACAACAAGAAGAAAAAACAGGAUUAUCAAAAAGGAAGGGUAGAAAUAGAAUGAAGUUUUUCAAGUCAGUUGUAUAGUACCUGCAUUACACUGUAAACAAAACUAAAAGAACACAUUUUUUAUCAAGCAAAACAACAUAGGUUAAGAACCAGUCAAGAGUCAACAACAUAUAUUCAAAACAAUUCCUAAUUAGACAUUAACUUAUCAACUUGAUAAAAAAGACCAUGAUCAUAAUCCUAAUCCCCAAAAUUAAACAAACCCAUUCUAGCAAUUAUCUAUUCAAACACAAUGCAAAAUAACAAUUUCCGGAGAGAGAGAAAAAAAUUAAACUUUUAACAAAACAGCAGCAGCCAAAAACAGUUUCUUCAGGAAUAAAGUUGCAAAAGUGCUAUUCUAGUUCAAUGUCACUAUAUAGAGUGACCCUAGUUCAAUUAAUGUAAAAGUAUAAACUAUAAAGUAUACCCAAUUAGAGUAAAAACCCAAUUCACUAUGACCAAAUCACAAACCACAGAGGCAAUGCUCAUAUAGACAUAGAACAACACAACAUAGAAAAUAAAAUAGACAAUAAAAGGAAGAAGAAAAAACAAAUUUUUGGAAUGACCCACCACUGGUAUCAGAGUGAUCAAAAUCCAUUGAGGUCCCCAAGCGUCAAAAUCACAAAAUCAAAGUAUCAAUUUGUUCAAGUCCACGAACUCUUCACCGCAUUUAGGGAUGGGAACAAUUGGAGCCUAAUUUGGACCCAGAGGCUGAAGGAAUAUUUUUUCAAAAUAUGUGUUUGACGUUGGUAGUUUGUUAUUUCUGAUUUAUUUUGAAAUAUUGUUGACAUUCCUUUUAAGAUUGUGACUAAGUUGUUGUUAAUUAUACUAGAUAUACAGAAAAGAUAUGUAAUUUUAUUGCUAAACUCUAAUUAAGAUUUUGAUAAAAGUGUUCUUCUAGUAAUAUAAUGUUAUUCUAAAUUUUCAAAAUGACCCAAAAGGUGAAGGGUUAUCUAAGCCACAAUUGAAAGAGAUUUAUUUCUUAUCCAAAAGAUUGAAGGAAUAUUUUUUUUCAAAAUAUGUGAUUGAUGUUAGUAGUUUGUUAUAUCUGAUUUAUCUUUAAAUAUUGUUGACAUUUUUUUUAAAAUUGUGAUUAAGUUGUUAAUUAUACUAGAUAUACGGAAAACACAUCUAAUCUUAUUGGUAAACUCUAAUUAGGAUUGUGAUUAAAGUGUUGCUAUAGUAGUAUAAUGUUAUUCUAAAUUUUCAAGAUAACCCAAAAGGUGGAGGGUUAUGUAAGCCACAUCUCUAAGAUAUUAGUUUCUUAUCAAAAGAUUGAAGGAAUAUUUUUUCAAAAUAUGUGCUUGAUGUUAAUAGUUUGUUAUUUCUGAUUUAUCUUGAAAUAUUGUUGCUAUUUUUUUUAAGAUUGUGAUUAAGUUGUUGUUAAUUAUACUAGAUAUACAGAAAAGAUAUGUAAUUUUAUUGCUAAACUCUAAUUAAGAUUUUGAUUAAAGUGUUCUUCUAGUAAUAUAAUGUUAUUCUAGAUUUUCAAAAUGACCCAAAAGGUGAAGGGUUACAUAAGCCACAAUUGAAAGAGAUUUUUUUCUUAUCCAAAAGGUUGAAGGAAUAUUCUUUUCAAAAUAUGUGCUUGACAUUAGUAGUUUGUUAUAUCUGAUUUAUCUUGAAAUAUUGUUAACAUUUUUUUUAAGAUUGUGAUUAAGUUGUUGUUAAUUAUACUAGAUAUAUGGAAAACACAUCUAAUCUUAUUGGUAAACUCUAAUUAAAAUUUUGAUUAAAGUGUUGAUCUAGUAGUAUAAUGUUAUUCUAAAUUUUCAAGAUGACCCAAAAGGUGAAGGGUUAUGUAAGUCACGUCUGAAAGAGAUUAUUUUCUUAUCCAAAAGGCUAAAGGAAAUUUUUUUUCAACAUAUAUGUUUGAUGUUAGUAGUUUAUUAUUUUUUAUUUAUCUUGAAAUAUUGUUGACAUUUUUUUUAAGAUUGUGAUUAAUUUGUUGUUAAUAAUACUAGAUAUAUGGAAAACACAUCUAAUUUUAUUGGUAAACUAUAAUUAAGACUGUGGUUAAAGUGUUGAUCUAAUAGUAUAAUGUUAUUCUAAAUUUUCAAGAUGACCCAAAAGGUGAAGGGUUAUGUAAGUCACAUCUGAAAGAGAUUAUUUUCUUAUCUAAAAGCUGAAGGAAUAUUUUUUUUUCAAAAUAUGUGCUUGAUGUUAGUAGUUUGUUAUUUCUAAUUUAUCUUGAAAUAUUGUUGACAUUUUUUUUAAGAUUGUGAUUAAGUUGUUGUUAAUUAUACUGGAUAUACGGAAAACACAUCUAAUCUUAUUGGUAAACUCUAAUUAAGAUUGUGAUUAAAGUAUUGAUCUAGUAGUAUAAUGUUAUUCUAAAUUUUCAAGAUGACCCAAAAGGUAAAGGGUUAUGUAAGCCACAUUUAAAAGAUAUUAUUUUCUUAUCCAAAAGGCUGAAGGAAUAUUUUUCAAUAUAUGUGCUUGAUGUCAGUAGUUUGUUAUUUUUUAUUUAUCUUGAAAUAUUGUUGACAUUUUUUUAAGAUUGUGAUUAAGUUGUUAAUUAUACUAGAUAUACGAAAAAACACAUCUAAUGUUAUUGGUAAACUCUAAUUAAGAUUGUGAUUAAAAUAUUGAUCCAGUGGUAUAACUAUUCUAAAUUUUUAAGAUGACCCAAAAUGUGAAGGGUUAUGUAAGCCACAUUUGAAAGAGAGUAGUUUCUUAUCCAAAAGGCUGAAGGAAUAUUUUUUCAAAACAUGUAGUUGAUGUUAAUAGUUUGUUAUAUCUGAUUUAUCUUGAAAUAUUGUUGACAUUUUUUUUUAAGAUUGUGAUUAAGUUAUUGUUAAUUAUACUAGAUAUACGGAAAACACAUAUAAUCUUAUUGGUAAACUCUAAUUAAGAUUGUGAUUAAAGUGUUGAUCUAGUAGUAUAAUGUUAUUUUAAAUUUUUAAGAUGACCCAAAAGGUGAAGAGUUAUGUAAGUCACGUCUGAAAGAGAUUAUUUUCUCAUCCAAAAGGCUAGGAAUAUUUUUUUCAACAUAUGUGUUUGAUGUUAGUAGUUUGUUAUUUUUGUUUUAUCUUGAAAUAUUGUUGACAUUUUUUUAAGAUUGUGAUUAAUUUGUUGUUAAUUAUACUAGAUAUACGGAAAACACAUCUAAUUUUAUUGGUAAACUCUAAUUAAGAUUGUGGUUAAAGUGUUGAUCUAGUAGUGUAAUGUUAUUCUAAAUUUUCAAGAUGACCCAAAAGGUGAAGGGUUAUGUAAGCCACGUUUAAAUGAUAUUAUUUUCUUAUCCAAAAGGCUGAAGGAAUAUUUUUUCAAUAUAUGUGCUUGAUGUCAGUGGUUUGUUAUUUUUUAUUUAUCUUGAAAUAUUGUUGACAUUUUUUUUUAAGAUUGUGAUUAAGUUGUUGUUAAUUAUACUAGAUAUACGAAAAACACAUCUAAUGUUAUUGGUAAACUCUAAUUAAGAUUGUGAUUAAAAUAUUGAUAUAGUGAUAUAAUGUUAUUCUAAAUUUUUAAGAUGACCCAAAAGGUGAAGGGAUAUGUAAGCCACAUCUGAAAGAGAUUAGUUUUUUAUUCAAAAGGUUGAAGGAAUAUUUUUUCAAAAUACGUGCUUGAUGUUAAUAGUUUGUUAUUUCUGAUUUAUCUUGAAAUAUUGUUAUCAUGUUUUUUAAGAUUGUGAUUAAGUUAAUUAUACUAGAUAUACGGAAAAUACAUCUAAUCUUAUUGGUAAACCUUAAUUAAGAUUGUGAUUAAAGUGUCGAUCUAGUGAUAUAAUGUUAUUCUAAAUUUUCAAGAGGGCCCAAAAGGUAAAGGGUUAUGUAAGUCACAUCUGAAAGAUAUUAGUUUCUUAUUUAAAAGGUAGAUAAAAUACUUUGAGUAGUAUCAAAAAAAACUCUAACCAUAUUUUAAGAGUUAUUCAAUAUGGAUAUGAUGUUUUUUUUGUUAUCAUUAUCAAUAUCAUAUUGAUACUCUCCUUAAUAAUCACUUUGAAAUAUCAUGCACUAAUUAACAAUGUAUAUUGUUUGGAGUGUUACAUAGAUAUGGAAUAUGAGUAUAUUAAAAAUAAUUGUGAACUACUCAUUAUGUUUCCUAUAAUCUUCUCUAUUAUUUCAUGUAAUCAAAUGGGGGUAAUGUAAUAAAAAUUUAUAAAACAUAACUUAAAUUAUAGAUUCAAUACAAUUAGUUUUACUUAACAAAAAAAUAUUAUUACUCCAACAUUAUGACAAAAAAAUUGUUUAGUAAAAAAAAUUUAAUCAUUUUAAAAUUUGCGAGUACAAAUAUCUCAUUGAUUGAACUGGACCCGUUCAACAACAAAUUUUAAAAAUUAUGGCUCCAACUACUUGUGAGUUCAAAAAUACAAAAUUUGACACAACCCAAUGUAAGUAUUAUCAGCAAGCACUAGUGAUUUCGAGUACUCAUUAUAAUCUUUAUGCCUAAACCAAUUUUGAUCAUUAAUAUAUGAUACAAUUUAAUUGUUUUGAUCGGUAUUUUCCCAUCUUAACCAAUUUAAUUGGUUGUCCAAUAUAAUUGGCAUACUAUAUUAAUAUACGAUUGAUUUAUCGAUUAAAGUGAUUGAAACAAUAUUCUUUAUCAUGUUGUACCUCAAUGUUAAAUGUUACUAUAAGUAAACUCUAGACACAAAGAUUACUAGUUAUAGACACAAAAGUUAAUCAUCGAUGGGUUAAUGAUUCAUGUUAUACUACUUUCUAAGUAAAGAUUUCAAUUGAUUCUAUAUGGGAAGAACUAAUUUAACCAUAUUAUAAAUGUGCUAAACUUGAAUAAAUUACAUAAUUUUACUACCCAAAAACAUACAAAGUUUAUUAUUCAUUAUCUAAAAUGUCAGGCCCGUGAAAACAUUUAGGAAAAUGUACAUUGUGUCAUAAUCAAAUGGGCAAGAUUUGAAAUGUUUGAACCAAAUGCAUUUUUGUCUGGAUUAUUUUAGUUUUCCAUUGUUAAUUGUAAUUCUAUAUUUUUAUUACUUUUUUUGGGUGUAAAGUGUAAACCAUUCAAUUGGACACCAGAAGAACUAGGUGAUAAAGUUCUUCAAUUUUUUAAUUAAGAUAUUACUCCAUCUUAUUACCAAUAUAUUUAGGAUUUAAUAUGUGUACAUUAACGGUGUAAGUGAUUUUUACACCGUCAGUAAAUUUCCACCAUUCAUUUGUUUGCUAGUAUUGACUUUCAAGCAAAAGUAUUAUAAAUCAAUUGUAGAUGAUGUGCUGAAAAUGUAAAAACCUUUACACUAUCAGUACAUAGAUUUUAAACUCAUAUAUUUAUAACUCAUUCAUAUAGUCACUAGAAUUACUGACCAAAAAUUAAUUUAAUUAUAUAAAGUCUUUAUUAAAUUUGAUUUCUAUGAAUGACAUUUCUUAAAAGUAAAACAAUACUUAUUAAAAGAGACAAUGUAUAUAACUCGUAGAUAUAUUAUUAUUCAUAAGGGAGUGUUAUUAUCUUCCAAGGAUAUGGGGUAUGAAUAUUAUUGAUACGUGUAGAAUAGUGGGGGAGGUUCAACAUAACUCCCAACCCAAACCGAAACAGAGAGAAAGAGAAAAAAAUGGUAAGGCUGACGCCGAGCCUCAGCCUCGGUCACACUCAUUUCUCUCCCAUAACCGUCUCUUCCUUCUUCUUCUCAUCUCUCCGUACGAAAUUCCAUUUCUACCCUCCGAUUCAUCACAGAGCCAUGUCCAUGGAUUCUCAAAGCUUCUCUUCUUCCAUUGACUCCGUAACUCAGCACCUUCAGAAUCACACUCUUCAAACUCAUAGUCAUGCUUCUCGCUCGAAGCUUGAAGAUCUCAAUUGGGACAAUUCCUUCGUUAGAACUUUGCCAGCUGAUCCUAGAACCGAUUCAUUGCCGAGACAGGUCUCUCACUAGUUAUUGCUUUGGAUCUUGUAAUUUUUUUGUUGAAUUUGAGUUUGUCAUGUGUUUUUCAGAGUGUGGUGGUGAAUGGAAAUGAAAUUAGGGUUUGGAUUUGUUGUUUUGAUAGUUUGAGGAUGCGAAAUUAAAUUUCUAUUGUAAUUUCCAUCAUUUCAGGUGUUGCAUGCUUGUUAUACCAAAGUAUCUCCAUCAGUUGAAGUAGAUAAUCCUCAACUUGUAGCGUGGUCGGAAUCCGUUGCUGACUUGUUUGAUUUGGAUCAUAAAGAGUGAGUGUGUUAUUUGUCAUGUUCAAUGAUGGAUGUACAUUAGUGUUAACAUAAGUGGUUUCUAUUUUCCAAAUGCUUAUAGUUCAUUGGUUCUUAGCAACAAUUGCAUACCAUAUUUGGUCUAAAAUUCUGUUGCAAACAAAAUUAAUUCAAUGAGUAUAUUUCUAAGUUUAUAUAUUGUUGCAUGGAGUGAAAAUAGAUACACUAUAAUUUCUUCAUAGAAGUGUGGCUAAGAAUAUUGAAAAUUGAAGUACUAACUACAAAAUUGGAAUUUGAGUGUGAUGAACUAAUAUAUGAGAGGGGUUGGGACUUAAGGGGGAUAUCUGAUAAUUAGAAUUGGAGUGGGAUGGCCUUGGCAACUAUGGACUACUAGGUAGAAAUUCUGGAAGACAAGCGAAAUGCGUGGAAUAAUAUCCCCGAGUGAAAAAUAUGUGGUGCGUCUCAUUUUACACACAACUGACCCAUUUAUGGGCAUAUUAGUAAAUAGCAAGCAACUUUGUUCUGUAUCACUUCAUCUCUCUCACUUUCCCUCAUAUUGAUAAAGUGUAUCAGUUUCUCUCUAGUUAAAAGGGAAACUCAUUGAUGAGUUUUUAGGUUGAUCUUGAAAAUCUCAAAUCUAUUUGAAAUGAUGCCUGGAAUCUAAAAUUACAUGAAAUCUUUGUGCUCUUUGGUGAUGUAGGGGCCAUAUUGCUAGGGCUUAACUGCUAUUUUCUGAUAGUCAUGUGCAUUAUUAGAACAGCUAUUUUUUUAUGAUUUUUAGUACUUGUGUUUAAACUUUUAAGUUUAUACUUCGGAUGACCUGAUCAGUAAUUUUUGUUUCCAUCUCUCUGUUAACAUAAAACCUCACGCGCAGGUCUGUGUCUGGCAAGGUUCACUUCAUUACUAACCAUUUUUGCGUUGAGUUUCAGAUUUGAAAGGCCAGAUUUUCCCCUUAUCUUCUCAGGUGCAUCACCUCCGGUUGGAGCGUAAGUGUUGUACAUAUAUGUCAACAGAUUUUUAGGCUGGUUAAUAAUGCUAAAUUAGACAUGAUUGAGAUUCUGCUAUACAGGUUGCCAUAUGCUCAGUGCUAUGGUGGACAUCAAUUUGGCACGUGGGCUGGGCAGCUAGGUGAUGGUAGGGCAAUUACGCUAGGGGAGAUACUGAAUUCAAAGUCUGAAAGGUGGGAACUGCAACUUAAAGGUGCAGGGAAGACUCCUUAUAGUCGGUUUGCUGAUGGCCUUGCUGUGCUACGAAGCAGCAUCAGGGAGUUCCUUUGUAGUGAAGCAAUGCACCACCUGGGAAUACCAACAACCCGUGCCCUUUGUCUUGUGACCACUGGGAAGCUGGUUUAUCGUGACAUGUUCUAUGAGUAUGAUAAAUGAACUUUCAAUAUUGAUAAAUUUUACUCAAGACAUCUCAGUUUACACUAGCAUUAAUCCCUCUUGCAUUUUGUGGUUGGCUUAAAAUUCCAGUUUCUUCAGAAUAAGAUGAUGAUCAAGUUUUUAUUAUAAAAACUGAGGUUCAAAGAACGAGUGAUAAAGUCGAUCCUUUUUCUCCUAUAUACCAUGUACUAUAUGAAGAAAAUUUUCUGUCUCAGCAUUUUCAGUAUCAGUCUUUCUUGAAAUUCAGGUGCCAUAUUCUACACAUUGUAAUAGUUGAAUUUUUGGCUUUGUUAAUCAAAAAAAGAGGAAAAAACUUACGUCUGUAUUUUAAUUUUGUAUGAUGAAAUCUGGAUGGGUUUAGAUUUUAGAAAAAUUGUAUUCUGCAUAUGUAAAAAUUUAAUAAUAUGAAUAUGAUGUUAUAGUGUCGUUCGAUCCAUGUAGCUGACCUCACCUAGUGGGAUUAAGGCUUGGUUGUUGUUGUUCUUGAUGUUAAUAUCACACAUGCAGUGGCAAUGCAAAGGAAGAACCUGGUGCAAUUGUUUGCAGAGUUGCUCAAUCUUUUCUGCGCUUUGGAUCAUACCAAAUACAUGCCUCCAGAGGUGAUGAGGAUCUAGGUAUUGUUCGUAGUUUGGCUGACUAUGCUAUUAGGCACCACUUUCCUCAAAUUGAGAGCAUUAGUAAGAGUGAAAGCUUAUCUUUCAGCACCAGUGAUGAAGAUCAUUCUGUUGUAGAUCUUACUUCAAACAAGUACGCAGGUAAAAAUACUUUCCUUGGGAGAAUUUAUGGUGCUAGCAUUUUUUUGUAAUCUUUAUUUUAAGGAUUGAUAUUUGGUUGCUUAUUCUGAGUUUUUAUAAUAACAAAUAAGUUAAAACUGUAACUACUGUUUUUUUCGCAAUGGUAUUCUCAGCAUGGGCAGUGGAGGUUGCUGAGCGUACUGCUUCUUUGAUUGCUAGAUGGCAGGGGGUUGGUUUCACUCAUGGUGUCAUGAAUACUGAUAACAUGAGCAUUUUGGGUCUUACCAUUGAUUAUGGUCCAUUUGGCUUUCUGGAUGCUUUCGAUCCUCAUUUUACCCCAAAUACUACAGAUCUUCCAGGUAGAAGAUACUGUUUUUCGAACCAGCCUGACAUUGGUUUAUGGAAUCUUGCCCAGUUCGUGACAACUCUAUUAGCUGCUCAGUUAAUAAACGAAAAAGAGGCUAAUUAUGUUUUGGAAAGGUAGUAGUAACACUUCUGAUAUCUUUACCUUAGAGAAUAAAUAGGUCUGAAUUGCUUUUAAAUGUAUCACUUUAUGGUUGGUUUGUUUCAGAUAUGGAAUGAGAUUUAUGGAUGAUUAUCAAGCUAUAAUGACCAAAAAGCUUGGGCUCCCAAAGUAUAAUAAGCAGCUCAUCAGCAAACUACUUAGUAAUAUGGCUGUUGAUAAAGUUGAUUACACAAACUUCUUUCGUACACUUUCAAAUGUCAAAGCAGACACAAGCAUUCCAGAUGAUGAGUUGUUGGUUCCACUGAAGUCAGUACUGUUAGAUAUGGGUGAGGAGCGUAGGGAAGCAUGGACCAGUUGGUUGAAAGCCUAUAUCCAUGAGGUGAAUUUGUUGUUUUGCUUUUGACUUUCUUUAAUUAAGGCACUUGUAGAAUAGAGCGUUAUGGUGUCGAUGGUCAUGAUUUAUAAUAGAGCGUUAUGGUUCGUUCGAUUCAUAUUUUUGACCCCAACUAGUGGGACUAAGGUUUGGUUGUUGGAAAAUUAACUUGGCAGAGAUGUCUUGUGCUUCUGUAAUCUCACAUCAUUGCUUUGGUGCUAUGCAGCUCUCCACCAGUGACAUUUCUGACGAUCAGAGGAAGACCUCAAUGAAUUUGGUGAAUCCAAAAUAUGUUCUCAGGAACUAUCUCUGCCAAACUGCAAUUGAUGCUGCAGAAAUAGGCGAUUUUGGAGAAGUCCGUAGGUUGCUCAAAUUAGUGGAGCAUCCUUUUGACGAGCAGCCAGGAAUGGAAAAUUACGCUCGCUUGCCCCCAGCUUGGGCAUACAGACCAGGUGUAUGCAUGCUUUCUUGUUCUUCCUGAGUUGCCUGCUUAGGUACUCAAUAUACCAGAAAUAGCAGAAAAGGAUUUUAAAAAAAUUACAAGACACAGAAACUAGGAAUAAAAAAGAGUAUAGCGUAUGUUUUAUUGUAUAUGGUAGUCAUGUAUUUGUUUGUACUAGUAAUGGGUUAUUGUAGCUGCUGCGCAGUUUAAUAACAUGGCUUUCUUUUAUAUUAUUUGUAAUACCAUACAUUGUCCCCAGUGAUAUUUAACAUGAAAAUGAAGUGUGGUACACUUUCAACUUUGCUAGUGGUAGAAAGGUCUCUUUGUAGGUUUCAGCAAGUCUAAGGAUAUUUUGCCCCGAUUUAAGUUCAUGUGGGUGUAAGUUUAAUGCAUGUGAAUGUUGCAUGAUAUAGUGAUCAUCUAAAUAAACUUUACCCUGGGAUAUUUAAACUUAUAUUUGCCUACAAUGUUUGAAAACUUGUGUCAUUAUUUCAGGACUUUAUUUAACCAUGAUAUUGAGUGAGCAAUUGUUUGAACUUUAAAGACAAAAAAAUAAACAGUAGAUAGAUAUAAGAUGAAUUUGAAAACUUUUUUAAGAGGAAAACAUUAUAUUGGUCAUCUAAAAAUGAUCUUAGGUAUUUGAAUGUCUAAAUGUUCAACCUUUAGUCUUUAAAAAGAUUCACAUGAUUAUCAAAUAAGUAGGUUGAUAAAUUUGGUGGCUAUAUUAGCUUUAGGCCUACAAUUUCAACUCUAUUUGGUGGCUAUAUUAGGCUAUUCUGAAAUGUUAAUUCAGUGGGGAUUAUCGUUAACCUAUUAAUAACUUCAACGCCAAAGGAAGAGAAUGAAAAACUAUCUGAAAUUAAUGAACUGAGUUGAUAAUGCCUCUUUUAUUAUAAGAAAAAAUUAUUUGAUCUCCUAUAUUUGUCCCAAAAUGGACUUGUAUAUCAUUGAUUAUCUUUGCAUCAUGAUCAACUUCCAUAAUGCUCAGCUAUCAUUUUCUUGCUUUGCUACAAUCUCACUUUUUCCUUCUGCUUAGUUCCUUUCUUCUUUUCAUUUGAAUAUGACGAAUAUAUUCAGUCACUAUAAUAUGAAGUUUAGGGACCAUUUUACUUGUGGAUGAAACAUUCAUUCUUGUUUUCUUCAAUGUGCUAGAAAUAUGCUUCUGAGCCUUUUGAAAGUGUGCACUGCAGAGAGAUGGAACACUGGAUCUCAAUAUAGGUUUCCCACAUCUUAUUGGUCCAGAUUCUGCACUGAAAACAAAAAAACCAUAUCAGAACAUGUGUUUAAAUUAAUAAAUUGAUUGAAGAAUCUAUAUAAAGCAAGGAAGAUCAGGAAUAAAAUUUAUUUAAUAAUAUAUAAAACUAAAAGAAUGCAGAAAGAAAAAGAUUCCAACUGAAAAUAUUCUAUGAUUAAAUACGAAGUGAUGUUUACGAGUUGGUUUUUGAAGAAGAAAAAAUGAUUGACUUUACCCAAUUUACUUGGAAGAGGCCAAAGAUGUAACCAGUUUCUUUGUGAAAAUCAGCAUGCAAUAAUAUAACACUAGAACUUGUAAAAUGUGCACAUUAAUAAGAGUCUUCUCUGCCUGUUUCUCUCUCCAAAAAUUUCCCAUCAGAAACUUGAAUUUUACAGAAAGACAGUGAUGAUAAGAAUUGAAAACUGAAUGCCUUUCCCUGCCCUCACUUCUGUCCCACAAAGAGGAGAAUAAAAAAAGACUAAGGAGGAAGAAAAUAAUUUUGAGAACAAAAACAAAAGCACAAUUUUUAUGGUCUUUUGAUUAUCCAAAAAAAAUUCUGUUUGCUCAUUUGUAAAGUAAAUUUGUAUCUUACUCUUAAUUUAUUUGAUUAAUUAUAUAAAUAGAAUCAUUAAAUGAUUAAUGACGGAUAUUCGGGAGGAACAAGAUGUAAUGAAUGCGUUCUAGGCGAAUAUAAAUAUUAUACUAAUUAAACAAAUGUCUUAUUCUAGUAUAUUUUGACACAUCUAUCAAACAUUACUUACCCGAAAUAAUACAUGACGCUUAACAUAGCUAUGAUUAGGUUUAGAUGCAAUUAAAUGAUUAAUGACGGAUAUUCGGGAGGAACAAAAUGUAAUGAAUGCAUUCUAAGCGGAUAUAAAUAUUAUACUAAUUAAACAAAUGUUUUAUCCUAGUAUGUUUUGACACAUCUAUCAAAUAUUACUUACCCGAAAUAAUACAUGACACUUAAUAUAGCCAUGAUUAGGUUUAGAUGCAAUCAUAGAACAACAUAAUAUCCAAUGCAACCAGGUGGAAACAUAAAUCAGUAUUUUGUAAAUCAAGCCCCAAAGGCAACAUCAUUAACUGGUAGGGAAACAUUUAAUUUGAUUACAAAUUAAUGUAUUACAAAAAUAUACACAACAUUCUAAAUUAUGAUGUGGCAAUUCUCGCUACAACAUUAAUAGUCUUCACAACAACAUCACAAUUACAAUUACAUCGAUCAUAUUUAAAUGCACCCCACGAAUUAUAACAUGAAACCAUGAAUAUAUACAUGUUGGUAUCAAGUAUCAACAAACAUUUGACAUAGCAAGAUGCAAUAAAAGUACAAUAUCUACAUAAAAGAAAGAAAUAAAAAAGGUAGAAUCAGAAUUAGAAUUAGAAUUAGAGAAUACCAUUUGAUAACAUAAUUGCAAGGCUUGUAAAGUUUCUGGUUAGGAUCAGAGAGAAUAUGCAAAUAACAAAAACUUGUCAAAGGCAUAGCCUUUGAAUCACACCCAACAAAAUCACAUAAAGGACUCUCAUUCUGACCCAAUUCACUACUUUUGUUCUUGUUUUCAGAAACAUCAUUAUCCUCCUUAUAAGGGGUAACACCAUAUUCCAAGAGAUAAUCUCUGUAAUGGGUCUUAAUUUUCUCCAAAAGAGCCCAAUAAAGGUCUCUGUAACACUUGGAAAGUAGUUUGAGGUUAUCAUAACGACGCUUCAGAAGCUCAGAGUGGCUAAGAUGGGAUAAUGAAAGUGCUGGUGAUACUGAACUUUGUUUCAUGGAAAUGGGUUUUGAGUAAUCAUCAUUCAUAACUUCUAUGGAGGUAGAAGAUGAAGAAGGAUUAAGGUUAUUCAAAGUAGAAGAAUAAAUCAUUGCAUUUGCAGAGCGCCGCUGAGAUUGAAAAAACCAAUCUUUCUUUUGUAGCUGUGUGUUACAUAUGAAUAUAAUAUACCUAGUGUCUUGUUUUUUUUGGACCACAUUGGACAUUCCAAACAAAACUUGUCAAAAAUUUAAUAAUUAAGUAUUUCUUGAUCAAUUAUAAUAAAUGAUAGAUACAUUAAUAUAAUUUGUGACACAAAAAAAUGUUUUGGAAAGUAUAUUUUUAAAUUUAUACCCUAACUUUUUUGGAAAGUAUAUUGCUGAUGUAAAAAAAUACAUUACAACAACAUAUAUGUAAGUAAAAAAAUACAUUACAACAAUAUAUAUGUAAGGAUAACAUUUUGGACAGAUAGAUAAUGUAAACAAGAAUAUUCCCUUAAACAUAUUGUUCAACUUUGAUGCUUUUGUUUUGAGAUUUUGAUAAUAAAAUUGUAAUAAUGCAACUGAAUCUGAAACGUAACACUGCUACUAUAUAAAAAGUAGUUAUGAAAUACUAUAAUCAUGUAAUUACCUUUCUGCAUGUAUAUGAUGUUUCAAGAUUGAAAUUGGAGACUCCAGAGUUUCUGGUUUAUAAUAACAAUAAUCUCCUUUCAUGCGUAUUUUUUUCAUGGGGCGGAAGAGUUUAAAAUCUUUGUACUCAGUGUAUAGAUAUUAAAUCCUCUCAUUGAUAAAUAAAUAAUGAGGAUUUAUAAGUGGAUACAUGAUUUCCAAAAACUGUAAUACUUUAUUCAGUUUCCAUAACCAAAAAAUAAAAUAAGUUAUGUGUGUGCAUGGAUUGGAUCAACCUGCAAAUUUACCAGUUUCUGACUUGUCUCUGAUUUGGGUUAGUGGGCUGGCUUAUAUUAUUUUAAUUUUAGAUUAAAAAAGAAAAAAAUGUAUAUAAUAAUAGUGUAAGAUAUUUUUAUACUAGUUGUGCAUCAUUAAUCAUUUAUAUUUAAUUAUCAUUUACUAUUAAAUAAAAAAAAUAAAAAAUGAAUAGUAAAUAAUAUAUUAACUGUAUAUAAAUCUCUCUACACAGUCAGUAUAUAAAUAUUACACUCCUAAAAAAAAUCAAUCUGCACAGAAUAAUUGAGUGCCAUCCGCAGGUAGCCCUUAAAACAUAGGUAUGUUGGGAUCUAUAGUUUUUUUGUCCCUUCCAAAUUUCUGAGGGUAUCAACCUUCUAAAUUAGUUUUUACGCUAACCCAUGCACUAUAUAAGUUUUAUUUUAAAAAUAUAUGUUUAAUGAAGUAGAUAACAAUAAUUUCAAUUAGCAUGAGACAACAAUGAAUAACUUUUGAUAUUUUUUUGAGGUUGGAAAUUUGUUGAAGUCAAUAGAUGAAAAUAUUCUCUCAAAAUAAACUUUAGUGAUCUAGUCAAGUCUAAAAACAUUCCACAUGCAAGUAACCAAAUCCACAAAAUCACAAAAGUGUUUUUGUUUUAGCUUUUAUCCAAAGAAUAAGAAAAAAAUGUAAAUUACGAGGCACUUUUAGAAAAUAAUAAUAAAAUGGUUCUUUUAGAAGGCUAUUGCAUCAUGCAAUUGGUAAAGCAAAUAACAAUCCCACUUAUGUUGAAUUUUCUAAAACAGUUUUUGUUUCGGUAUUAGCAUCUUAACUUGAAAAAAUAUCCUCACCACCACCUAGCAAGGUUUGAACAGUGUAAACAUACACAACCUUCUCCCUAAAGGGAAAAGCUGUUUCUAGGAUCCACUUCAUCAUUUAUUAAAUAUAAAUCUAUUUCUUUAAUAAUGUAGUAAAAUACAUUUUGUUGCCUAGCCAAUUAAUUGUAACAAGUAAUCUUAUUUAUCCAUAUAUAUCGAGAAAAAAGUAUACACUAACAAAGAAGAAUUUUUAUAUUAUUACUGUAUCAUUUUAUUAUUGACUGUUAAAUUUAAGUAAUACAAAUGAAUAAUGAAUAAUAUAAUGACUAUGUUUAAAAUUUAUACUGACAAAUUUGAAAUACAAGUUACCCACCUAAUGUUCAAUUUAAUGGACUUCGGGUAAAAGUUUACAAUCAUCAUUACCACCACAACAUGAUAAAAGAAGUGAAACUAAAUUGGAUUAGCUUAGGACAGUUUAUAGUUUACCGACAAUUUGAAAUUACCAUUUUUUGUUUCUCAUACUUCCAGGGAAUAAAAUAAAAUGAAUUAACAAGAGUUGAUACAACAAGAUCGAGUGCUUAAUAUGCAUACAGAUAUAAUGUACCAUUUCGUUUGUUCCUUACUAGUAAUCUCAUAAUUAAAAUGAAAUACCUAAGUCAUGUAAUAAAUGCAAAUAAUAACACAAUGGAGAUAUAACGGGUUGAAGUAAAUACAACAGAGAACAAAAAUAAUAAUAAUGGGGAAAAGGAGAAACCAAAUGUCAAAACAAAGAAUUAAUGUAACACAAGCAAAUCCACAUUGAUAUGCCAUUUACUAUUGUCUAUCAAAAUUUUCAGUAGCUGAAAAUCCUGGCUUUCUCAACAGCUCCUGUAGUCCAUGCCCCUUUUGUAUAUAGAUAAAUAUAAAUCCCUUUUGUAGAAAGCUAGCUAUCCCAGAAAUGCAGAAAUAACAUUUUAUGUUUGUUGUGACCUUAAAACGUGUGCAAUAUUCUUUGAAAAUUCCUGCAAUUAUAUGAACAAGAUUGAUUCACUAGAUACUAAUGGGACUGUUCAAAGCACUAAAAAACGGGGGAUAAAACAGUUCUAAACCUAAAGAAAGUGGGAUAUUUUGAAUUGACAGAAGUUAAAAUUGUAUUUCUUUUUGCACUAAAUACAAAGGCAUCAGCUUAGGCCAAAAAUAUUAUGAAGUGUAAAGUAUAAACAGAUCCAGGACAGAAGCAAAAAUCAUCCAACAGAUCAAGAAAUUAUGUUAUCCUUAGAAUUAAAAGGAUGAUUAAUUAGGAUUAUGAAGAGGCCAAGAACAAUAAAAAACGGAAGGGAAACGUACUGUAGGUCAAUCUAUUUGGGAAGAAGUGGCAGUCUCUCAUCAAGCCCUAUAUGAUGAGUAGCCUGGAAAAAUGCAUGUAAACAACAAAACAGUAAUUAGUCCAAUGUAUAUAAAAAGCUCUCAAUAAUAAAUCAAGGUGAUGGCAAAUCGGCACCUCUUCAUUUGCUCCAGCCGCCAUGUUUAUAAAGGAGUCCUUUGACCUGGAAUGAACAUAAGGCACUCAUCAUUGCAAAGGAAGAAGGAAAUGAUUUUUCUUAUAAAUAUUUUCGGGUUACGUGGCCAUCUAAAAAUAAGAAAUAUCUAAUGAACCUUUUCAGAAACUGUAAAUUAUGGAAAAGGGACUCUUUUUCCGUCCUUUUUAGAAUAAGCAGGUAGUUGGUAAGCCUUUCAUAUAGUAAUUCAAUAAAAUAUACAAUGGAAAGCAAAAAGAGAAAGCUUAUAAAGUAUAAACUGUAAGGAUUUCUGGAGCCCAAAACUAAUCAUAUCAGUAAAUAGAUUAGCAAGUACCUUUGUUUGUCAUGAAUAUCAUGCAUUUCCAGCACACCAUUCUGCUCAUCUUUGACUUUUGAAAGUGGUGAAAAGAACUGAAGAGAGAAUGAGCACGGUGAUGUAAAAAGAAAAUGUCAUUGGCUGAAUUUGUUUAUAAAAUUAGCGAUUUAUUUCUAAUAUUCUUAAUUACCAAUCAGAAUCUUCAAAAUUCAAUUUACCUGGUGCAUUGAGAUGAAUACAAUAGAAAUGCCUAAAACGAAGUUCAUUGUUAAAGUAUGUCCAAACAUUACAGCAGAUGCUAUGCCCGUAAAGAUUGUUGCAACUGUUGAUGAGUACUUUUUCAAAAUUGUAUCUGCAACACAUUACAUGGGUUAUUGAGAGAAGGUAAGCGACAUCAGACCACAUUAGGGCAAUUUAAAAUAAUUAUACUAGACCUGUAUUUUUUUUAAAAAUAAAUUCAACAAAAGAAUAAAAACACAUCUGAAUUAUUAACCUGCAUAUUUGAAGAAGAAAGAGGAUAAAAUUCCUUGGGCAGCAUUGUUAGCUAUCAAUAGCAUAGUGGCUCUUGAAUGACCUUCAAGGAUAUCAAAACUACUAGGACCUGGAACAUUUAUGGCAGCAUCACAGAAAUCAGUCAACAGUUUGAGCAUCAGAAAAAGCAACACAGUAUAAGCCACACAAGGUUUAAACAAGUUUUAUUAUAAAUAGAUGCCACAAGUAUAUACUAUUGAUUGAAUCAACUAACAGAGUUAAACCAUAAUUUAUUAAACUAUUUAACAAUGUAGGAAACUGUUUAUAUGAAGCGCUUUACGCAUCAUGGCAAAUUGUAUUAAAAUGACUACUUGUUGCCACAUUUACAAUUACACCCAAUGAUGUAUGAAGAAACACAUGAAAAACACAUCCCAAUAAGUACAGUCUGUUCACUGCUUGCCAAUUCCAUCCUAUGUGCUCUAAUUUAAAAUAUGAAUUUGUUGAUAUUAACAAUAUUUAGUUCUUGACUUUGUUAAUCUAAAAUCCAGAGGGUGAGCCUUAGUAUAAUGAUAAGGCUGAUAAUUUGGUGGUCACAGGUUGCAAUCAACCAGAAAUAACUGCUCCACUCAGCAAGCUAAAUUUGUGGCAUCUAAGUGUCUAACAAUCUUCAGGCAGACUCGUCCUGUUUUUUUAGUUUGGGAAAAGAAUGCCAUGUGUCAUGCAUGACUAAACCACUAUAAUUAUCAUAUUGAUCGAUUCGAAAGAGAUCACCAUUGAAAUUCACUGUUUCAGCUUGUGGUGAUGGGUGGGUGGGGGCAGUCUCUUGUUUUAUGAAAAUUUUCUUUGGAUUUGUUUUUAAAUGCUUCACACCAUAUUUGAAAUGCCAACGAUUAUAUAGAAAUUAGAGAUUCAUUUCUCACCUUUGAUGAUAACAGUCACAAGUAUUCCAAGAAAAUUGAAUAUAGCUCCAUACCCAUAUAAGAAUAAGUUCUGUAAAUCAAGAGAUAGAGAAUCAAUAUCUAGAUGAAUUAAAACUAAAUUAGUGAAAGAUUGUAAGUAUUCUGGCACCACUAAACUUGAAAAUAUUUAUUAAUUUCAUUUUUCUUCUUUGUUGUAUUCCAAGAUGCUGACAUGAUUCUUCAAUCUACUUCCGACAGUUACAACCAACAACAACCAAGUCUUAGUCUCACUAAGUGGGGUCGACAAUUGAGCAAUACAUAGUAAUAAAAUCAGAUAAUAAUUCAAUUUGUUGGUUAAAAAAAAUGAAAAGAAGAACUCAAACUAAUUUUUUUUGCAUACUGUCAAGUUAGAGAAUGAAAAGAUAAUCCAUGUUCCACGCAGAGACAACUUUGAAGUCAAAACAUCGUUUUCUUUUUUGACUUAAUAAAACUGCAUUCCAAUUAUGAAAAAAAAUCCAGUGCUCCCUACAUCACCUGGAGAUAAAUGCUUGUAUCAUAUUGGCUCUUCAAGGCAUACUCAUUAUAAACAGAAGCCAAUGAUGGAACAGUGACCUGCAAAAUAACUCCUAGGUCAAAAAUUUGACAAAGAAAGGAAUCUCAAUAAAUAAGUAUAGAAUAGCCAAAAUUACUAUGAAAUGAACUAAUUGCACAAUAAUAUUCAAUAUAUGGUCAAAAGAGCAAAUGGCAAACAUCACUUACGAAGAUCGUAGUAUAGAUAUAUGCAGCCAUUGUGACCGGAAGGCCCAAAGCUGUAGUUCCUUCAGGUAAAGAUCGUAGUUGAUUAACACUUAUACCAAUGAGCAACAAACCAAGAGCUUCCCACUGUAGCAAAAUAAUAAAUCAAACAUCCAAUUAAAUAAGUAGGCGCAAUUGGGAUUUACAUAAGGAUUAUGGCUUACUAAAGUUCAAUAGUAAAUUAUUGCAUGCUAAAGUUCAAUAAUAAAAAUCCAAAUAAUGGCCACAGAGAGCCCCUUCCCUAUGCCUACAGGCAAGUAAGAGCUUAAUGCACUAACCUGAAUAAUAGAAAACCGACGCUUCAUAAUCACCUUUAAUAAAACUGCUAUUACUAAAACCUGCAACAUGCACAAUCAAGAGUCAACAACUACAUCUAAUUCAGCUUAAGCGAACUAUGAAGAAAAUGAUAUUUCAAAUUGUUUCAGAGAAUAUUCUUCAGGAAAAAAGAAUAAAAAGGAGGGAAGAAAAGAAGAGAAUUUCUAGAAAUAAAGUGAAAAGAAAAAUCCAGUCUUGAACAGUUAACGGGAACUAUUAAAGUUUAAUAUGGCCACAAGUAACAGGAGGUUUGUUUGAGAGGCAUCAGCAGCCAUCACAAGAGAAAUACCAUAUACAGUGCAUAGGCAAACAAUUAUUUGGCUGGUAAUAUACUAUAUAACACAGUGAAUGAGAAAUUACCUUCAAGUUGCUUAACAUCUUCACAGUAGCAGGAUUAAAAUAAAGCUGCAUGGAAUGUGAUAUCAACUAGUAAGUUACGUCAGAUCCCAUGAUUUCUUCAAAUUUGUAAAAUGUGACUGAACAAUCAUAGGUAAGUUAUAUGAAGUCACUUGAUUCAUUUCUCUCCUUUUCCAUUUAAAAAAUUAAAAUUAUUUUAGACUUUGAAUGAGAUAGCAAACAUGAGAUACAAACAAGUGCACAACUUAAGCAAUGGUCACUCACUAUGGCAUAGACUAGUAAAGACAUAAGACACAUCAUGUGAAAUGCAUGACCGACACAAGAAUUCAAAGCUGAUUAUAAUAUAAGCACUACUGAAAUUACAGGAAUUAGAUGCAAAAGGAGGAAAAGAGGGAAGACCUCCUGAAUAAUACUUUAUCCAAGUAGAUGAUAUAUGCAUGCCAUGAUACAAAGCACUAACACCUAUAUAUAAUAAUAAUCAAGAUCAAAUACUAGAGUAGUAGUACUAGCAGAGGCUCAUCACAAAAAGACAAUUAACAUAACAAGACUCUAAAAGAAGUAAUUAACAUAACAAGCAUUAAUGACUAGCAUUCUAGCCUGGAUCCUUUUAUAUAUGCAUUUUUUAUCGGCUAACUCUACAUACCUGCAUGAUAAACUUCAGAUAGUUGUUUAUAGCAUACAAAAAUGCUGGAAUGGCAAGAAGGACAUUGUUGCGAGCUGCCUGCAAAGGAUAAAAUUACCCCAUAAAAGAUAAAUAUAAGGAGAAGAUGUGAAGGAACAUAAGAAGAAAGUGUUCUCCCAUGUUCCAAACUUCCAUAUUCACUGAGAUGUUAAUUAAAGAGCACAACUGAUCACACCAAUAUGCAAAAUGUGGUAUCUAAGAUGAAAAGUAUCAACACUGCGCUGUACAUAUGCAGUCUAAAGUAAAUACCAUAGCUGCAGAUUCUUUUAUUAACUUAACAUAAAAUGUACUUAUUCAACUUGAACUGAGUAAUCCAGAUCAAACCCAAGAAGCAAAGAACCCAGCAAAAGACAGACAUUGAUGGAAAUUGAGGAAUAUCAUAUAUCCUAUGAAACAUGGAUACGGAUACGUGUGUCGGAUAUGAUACGUAUUCGAUAUGUCGACACACAUUUUUUCUAAAAUAUAGGAUACGAUACGUUCAGGGAUACGCGUAUAAAAUAAUAAAAAACACAUAAAAUAUGAUAAAAUUAUAAGUAUAAAUCAAAAUAUUCAUAGUAAAAAAUAUAAUGGAAAUUGAAAAUCAUUGCCCUCCAUAACAAAUCUAACUUAUCUUAUUUUAUUGAAAACGAAUCUUUAUAUCCUAUAUUUUACUGAAAACGAAUCUAUGUAUCCUAUAUUUUAUUGAAAACGAAUCUGAUACGUAUCUUGAUAUUUAUUUAUUUUAUUUUAUUUUUUAAUUUUUGGAUACUCUACGGAUACGUAUCCUUCGCGAAUCCGAGCGUAUCCGUGUCGGACACCGACACGUGAGGGUGUUUGACGAAUCCGUGCUUCGGAGGAUAUGUGAAGAACUAAGUGAUAUUGCAAAUAAUAUAGAGUCUUCACAAAUCUGUCCCUUUAUACAAAACCAAUAUUUAAAAAUCACAGUAGUACCUGCAUAAACGUAGAAAUUGAGAGAAGGGGCUUCUCCCCAACUUUUUGAUUCCUAGCCUGCACAAUCAACCAAACCUUACUAAGAUUGAUAGUAAGAGCACACAAAUAGCUUAAAGAUCAAAAGAUCUUGAUGUACUACUUUAGAUAUUGGAGUUAGUUGUAACAUUCUAUAAACUUCAGGAGAUCAGCAUUCUUCAGGAUUAUCAUGUAUAAUAGGCUGCUAAGGUCAAGCAUAUCCUAAGCAUGAGAUCUUGGGUUCCAUCCAUAGAAUCAUGUCUAUAAAAAAACGCUAUUUGGGAGGGGUUCCUGCUUCGGCGCCUGACCGUACCCUGGAAGAUUAGUCUCUCACCCAUCCAGUGGGUGGAUAGACUAGGAAGAUGACAAAAUAAAAAAAUUGAUACACCUGUUUUCUACCAUUAAUAAUCGUAUAAAACUCAAAUCGUAGACUAUCAGAUUUUGAUUAUGUCGCUGUUUACUUGCAAAGAUAAAUGGCAGCCCCAUGCCAUUCACUAUAGACCAACUCUGACCUAUUAUGGAGUAUCCACUAAAGUAACUCAGGAAAUGAUAAUUCCAAACCAAAAAAAUCUCUUUUAUAACUUCUAAUGUCACUGACAUCCACACAAAAAUAAGGUAAUGUCCGGCUAUAAUAAGAAAGAUGCAACAUCAAGCAAGAUUGCAUUUUGCUAAUGAUUUGCUUCAAUAUAUGUGCUGAAUUGUUGAUUCUGCGCUCAUAAUCCACUUCUCACUUAACACAUGCUUUAAUUAUAAGUAAUUGAAAAGACAGUAUAUAUUUGAAUAAAGAUAAAGAAAAGGUGAUAUGUACCUGGAUUAAAAGCAUAACCAUAGCAAAGAAAACCUUUGUGAUCUCUGUCAAAAAGUUAACACUAAUUGGGCUAAACUUGAAUUUUCCAUCAACCUUGGACAUAUAGACAAGAAUAGGCUGCAAAAUUCAAGGGAACGAUAUAUGUCAGCCAGUAACAAGCACAAAACUUUAGCGUGAAAUAACAAUGUUAACAACAAUGAACUCUAAAAUCCUACAUUAGACUACUACAAUCUACACUAGCUCAUCUCCAAAUAUAAAAGUUUAAAUAUGCAAGUCAAAGAAAUGACAAAUGGAAACGAAGUAAUUGCUUCACUGUUUUACUUUAUAGAAACAAACAUGCUAUGUCAUAAUCAUCAUUAAAUCCCUUUUUUUAAUCCAAAGAAAAGUAUACUAUGUUCCAUCUUCUAACACGUCUACCAAACGCUACCUAGUUACUCUUCGUAAAUCGAAAUGCCAAUUUGUUUCAGCUGAAUCCUCUAUUACAUUAGUAUUUGAAGUAAGAGAGGGUACAUAUUCACCUGAAAACCAACUAGAAUACAGUCACCUACAACCAAGAAGACGUUAAGUGCACGUUGCUUGGAUGAUAUCCUAUUUUUGUGGCGAUCAUAAGCCCUUGAUAUAGAUUUGGUUGUUGGCGAAACCAAUUUUGAAUGACAAACACUGCAUUCUACCAUUCCGUCCUUCAUCUAUAUGUCCCUCCCACACUAUUACCAACUCGAUCUGCAACUGAAUAACCAAAAAACACGUUAAUAACUUCUAUAGAUCUCGCUCUUUAGGAACACACAAUCAAGAUUUAAUAAUUCCAAAGCGAAAUAGAGAUCCAAUGAAAUACGAAGAUGCGGAGCUGAGAUCUUAAAAAAAAUCACCGACAAAAUACGUAAAUUCGUGAAGAAUCAGAAUUCGGAAUUGAAGAAACGAUUAGUAACCUAAAUCGAGUCGUCACAGAGCAUUUACGAAUAAACUUGAUUUGAUCUGCAGUUAGAGUAACAGAAUUGAAAGUGAUUCAAAUGUGAGUGUGAUUUUGAAAUCGAAAACGAUUUGAAUUUCACUCUCUCUGCUUCUUCUUCUUCUUCUUACAUGAAUUGAAAUUUGGAGAAAAUUUGAAUUAGAAUUAUGAGAUAUGCGAAGAAUAUGCAGAGCGAGAAAUGUGAGAGAAAGUGGGAAAUGCGAAUUGUAUUGUAGAUUGAAGAAAAAAAUGAGAGUUACAUUUAUGCAUUUAUUUGAUUGCUUUCAUUAUACACAAAAUAAAAGCUUCGUGACGUGUUGGGUACGGGACGAUGUGACAGACCAAUCAGAUAUCAGGGUUGUGAGGAAACUAGGUGGAGUCAAACAGUUUGGUGAGUCACUGUUACGGGCUAGAAAUGAAUCAUCAAGCAUGAGUUAUUAUUACAUUGCAUACGACAAAAGUUUAACUAUUAUUUUUUUAGUUUAAUAUCAUUUAUUAGUGUGUUAAUUUUUUAAAAACUUUUAUGCUCAAAAUGCAAUAUUUUGGGUGGCUAGAUGUUUCUUUGGCUUCAAUUUGCAGGGUUGUGUUAUGUGUCUUUGCAGCAGAAUAUAUAGAGCAGGCUUUGGUGUGGAAAUAAUUAUAUAUUUUUUUAGUAUUACUAAUGAUAUAUUUUCACCUUGGUAAAGAAUUAUCAAUUUUAUAGUGUGUGAUUGAUCCUCUAACUAACAAGUGUGGUUCUCAAUAUUCCAUCUCUUGACAUUUUGAUCAUUAUAGGACCUAGUGGUACUUAUACCAUUGGACGAACACCUUGAUGGUAAAUAAUUAUAUAUAGAUAGAAUUAGGGAUAACAAAUAAAUCUGACUCAUGUUAACUGUGGAAAUACUCAAAACAAAUACCCACAAUAAUAACUUACUAGUGAAAAUUGGCUUUAAUUAAAUUUCUAUAUACAUUAUAGUUUUUUAUUACUAUUUGAAGAUUAUAUAUUAUAUAUUUUAUUAUUAUUCAUAAUAAAUUACAUUUAUUUGACUAGAAUUAUAAGUUUAUGAUAUAAGUAUCUUAUUAUUCAUGUAAUAAUUAUUUUUAUAUAUUGAUUAUUAAAAAAUAUAUAAAUAUAAUUAAAAUUAAAAUUUAUUGGGUAUCCACUAUCCUCCUAUACCACAUAUAUUGGAAAUGAGAAACUGAGUUACCAUCCCUGGAUAGAAUUACCUAUAACAUGUUCCAAUAUUCUUCUUGUUGCCGUAAAUGGUUAUGAAUUAGAUAACAAUAUGAGAUUAUUUAUUGCUUUAACACAUUCUACUGUUUAAAGAAUUACUUAUCAUAUAAUAUAUAUGUAUAUACUGUUAAUAUGAAAAUUUAUAUACAAUUAGUAUAAUUUCUAUUAUUUUUUAAAGAGUCAAUAAUAAAUGAAUACUAAUAAUAGAUAAGACAAUAAUAAUAUAUAAAAUUCAUACAGUAUUAAUACAUACAUUUCUUUUACCCCUACAUUUACUAAUUAACAUAUGUUUAAAACAUUCUCUAUGCACAUAAGAUCCCACAACCCUCAUAACAAGAGAAUAAUCCCAUUUAGAGUGUAUAUUUCUUACAAGGGAAAUAUCAUUGUACAACUAAAGAAGAAUUAUAUAUUAUUAAAAGACAUUUAUUUAUUUUGCACAUACUUUCAUGUUGUUUGUAACACAUAGUUUGUACGUUAUAUAUGACAAAUAUAGUAUUUUGUGUUAAAUAUUUAUAAUUUGAAGUUGAAUUUAUUUGAUUAGUAUAAUGUUCAACUUUUUUAAAUAUGCUUUCAAAAUAAGAAGAUAAUGAAUAUAAAAUAAAGAAUCACAAAUUACAUCAAAGUGAAUGAUUAUUUUAUGUUUUCUUUUUAUUAAGUAGUAUAGACAUAUUAUGGAUAUAUAUUAAUGAAUGUUUGAUACUGAUAAGGAUGUAUGUCUUUUAAAUUUGUAAAACAAAGUUGCAAUAAUAUGCACCCAAUGAUCAUCUUAACAGACUCAAUUGAAGUAUUUUGUUGUUAGAUAAGCAUUUUGCCAAUUGAUUAACGCAUUUAGAGCUUACCACUAAAUCUUAUAGUAGUGUUCAUGUUGUCUCAUUAGAUGGGUAUGUGGGUUAACCCAACUCACAUGGGCUUGAUCUGCAUUGGUCAGAACCUAUCAUGGUGGUCCGCACCAUCAUGCAUGAGCCAACAUUAUAAAAAAAAAGUAUUUUUUCAUUAAUAACUUAUCUCUUAACUCUAUUGAUUGCUUGACACAUCUUAUAUUUUUCUUUUAUAAUAUAUUUUAAAUGAAAACUUUUAGAGAGAAUCAAAAUAAAACAUGUGCCAAACAAUCAAUGAAGCUAAAGAGAUAAAUUAUUUCCUGGUAUGGAGAUAUACUUUAUUAUCUAAAAAGCCAUGAAACAAUCUUUAAAAUAGGUAAUUUUAAUACCACUAAUCAACCAAAUUAACAUCCAAUUUAAUACUAAAAAACCAAAAAUGCCCUCUCCAUCAUUCAUACUCGACCACUUCCCUUUCUUGCAUCAUCAAUAAAAGAACCAUUCUUCGCAUAAUUUCAUCACUUUUCAUGCAUUCAUUUUACAUCCCUAAACCAUAAUGUUCUUGGCUCCAUCUUAGCCAUAACAAAGUUACAGAGUAGGAAUUCAAUUUUCAGAUUGUCCAAAAUAUCUACCAGAAAUAGUAGCCAGUAUAUUCAGCAUUACAACCUCUUCAUCCAGUUCAGCCUUUGUAGCUCGUAUGCUAGCACACUUUCGCAGCAGACCCCUGAGAGCAGCGGAAGUGUCGGCAUGUAAUGGAGCAUCAACUGCUGCACAGAGAGCAAAAAGCCACAUGCAAUCAUUUCUUGCGAUGGCAUCUUCAGAUUCUAGCAACCUAACCCGUUUAUGCAACAUAGAUACCCGGGCUACAGAAUCCAAUCCUAAGAUUGCAGAAAGUAAAGGAAGAGCGGGAGAGCCACUGCUAAUUUGAUCAACAGAAGUUUUUGAUGCAGGAUUCUCCGGAGGCAGUGCGGCGGUAUCCUUGUCUUCAGUUGUCAGGUCAGUGGGUUGAUCCAUUGCCUUAUCGACGCUCAUGUGAUGAAGUAGGACAUCCAUGUUCAUUACGCUAGCUAAUUGUUGCCCAAGUAGGUUAGGGGAAUGAAUAGGUUGAAGAUUAUUUGAAUCUUCAAGAGAUGAGAGAUUCUGGAAUAAGAAGUUGACAAAUAAAGGAAAAUGGGGUCAGUAAUUAUAGCAUUAAAGCACAACCAGAAGACUCCUAAUCCAAAGCUUUAUUAUCUCAGACAUCAAUUAGGAUCUUAUAUGAACAAACAUAAAUGAUUAUAUUAUGUGUCAAGUUACAUUUAAGAACUUUAGAUGGGUCCAAAAUGCAUUUGUGAGAUCAUGUGAGCAAGUGGCAUGCAUUAAGUGGUGCAGGAGUAGCAUAACUCUUGGAUAAAGAGUCACGGGUCAUCCCCAUGAAAAUGAAGGAAAAAGAAAAGGGACACAUAUAUAUACAAAUAGGUUCUUGAAGAACAUACUGCUCUCAAUGCCGAAAACUCAGCAAGAAAUACAUCCUCCCACUGUUUCAAUGGUAACAAAUGCUCAGGACAUUCGGGAAUAUCAGGAAUCUUGGGCAUGUAAGCACUUUGUUCCUUGUUAAGUUUACUUCUAUCAAAUUUGGCUACUUUAACUUUAGGAAUUUGUUUCGCCUCCCACCUAAGCAAGAAAAAGAAAAGUUAAGAUUAGAGGGAAAGUUACAGUACAAUGUCUCCAGUUCACCCCCAUUUAACAGAUCCAAAAGUUUCUACCAUAUAUAUCCUACAAUAAAUGCUAUAGUUUCCUACCAUACUGCAAUAGUACCCCAAACAUAUUCUAGGAAACCAUUGAAUAUCAGCUUUCAAUACCACCCCUUCAACAUACUUGCCCCAAAAUUUAUUCCACAAAGCUCACAGAAUGGAUCAUGCUUUUAACUUGGCUAGGAAUCUAUUCAAAUACUCAUUGACAUUUAUAAAUAGAACCCCCAACUGUAAUACGAUUGAUAAUAGAAUGUGUAAGACUGAACAAAACAAACACUCUUUCACCAUAAAAAUUUCUUAGCAUAUGCUUAAUAUAAUGCCUAUUGCAGGCUUCCCCAGCUCCUCUAUCCCCAACUUUUUUACGAAAUUUAUAGUUUUAAGUCUGCCCACUACAAUUGUACUAUUAGACUGCAUUUUUCAUCUCGAGAUUGACUAGAAGUCUACUUACAACACUGUAAGUGCAAAAAAGUCUACAUGGAGAAUCACUACGCAAGAGAAAGCAGAAGUGCAGAACAUCAAAAGGAAAUUAUAAGGAAUUAGAAAAUUUCAAAGCAUACAAUCAGCUUCCAGCAAUUAAAAUAAUACCUGACACGCCUAAGGUAUUCCCAUCCAUCUUCUGGUGCCCCAGCAUCGAAAUUUGGUUCUCCCUUGACAAAAAAGGCAGGCCUCUGGAUGCUAGCAUAAUCAUCAUCGCUGUCAUCAUUUUCACUGCUCUCUUCUAAAUUUGAGCAUCCAUCCCCAUCCAUAAGACUAUGAGUACAAGAAGGGUCAUCAAGACUCACAUUUUCACUACUUUUCAUGAGUAGUUCACUAUCCAUAUUUUCAUUACACACUGCACCAUAAAACAAAUGCAAAACUUUCAGCACCAUAAUAACUAUCAAUUCAGUAAAAAUAUAUAAUUUAAUCUCAGUAAAUGCAACAAUCAGGUAACGCGUAUCCUUCUCAUCCAAGUACAACACAACAGAAAUUGAACUUUUAUUGAAAAACAAUGACACAGCUUUCAACAUACAAUGUGAGUUUUUCUACUAUGCAUGUCAAAAAUGAAGUAUCACCUAUUUCAGUAUGGCCGAAUUAGUCACACAAAUUUACAAUCAAUCCAAAUGCACAAGAUUUUCAUAUACAAUAACUUUAUACAAGUAGUCAUGCAAACUGAAGUCGGUGCUUAAAUACACAAAUCAGAAUAAAAUCAACUAAUGUGGCAGAUUAGAUCUUUUUCAGGUUCCUCUUGCUUAUUCUUUAAUGGACUAAGACAUUCACAACUCUCCAUCUUCCAUUAGCAGCACCCAGACCUAAUAGAAUUUGAAAACAAAAAAUUGACACAAUAUGAGCUAACAACUGGACAGUUGGAUGAUAAUAAAAAGUACACAUCUGAGCAAUAAAUAUUAAUGCAGUUUCACUCACACAAAAAAUCCUAGUUCAGUUUGCAUAGAAAUAAACUUAAGACAGAGAGACAGAGGAAGAUUAUAAGUAAAAAAUAUUCCGGCAAACUAUUGCAACCACUAUGAAAAAUAACAUGAAGUCAGUAUAAUGAAAAAGCAAUGGCACCAUGAAGAUGAAAUAUUUUCCGAACAUUGCAUUUUGCAACUAUCCAUAGAAACUACAACAGUAAAACUGGGGGGAAAAGUGAAAAUGGAAGAGUGGAGUUUUAUAAUGAUGGUCACAAGUACAAUCUGAAGAACAAGGAAACAUGAUGCAUUCAUGUUCAAUGGAAAAAAAAAGUCAAAUUACUGCAAAGUUACUAAAGUAAUUGAGCAAUAGCGAGGGGAGGCAAUUUUAAACAAGGUAUCUCUAAAUAGAAGCAAAAAAUAAUCAAUAUUCACAACUCUAGAAGGAAGAGAUACAGACACAAUGAUCUAUAAUCCAUCUUAGUUUGAAAUCACGUCCGAACUCGAAGAAUUUCAAACAGCACAACAUCUUUCGAUCUUAAUCCAAAUUUGAGCAAUUGAGGACUAAUGUGGUUGAUAAAGGCUUAUUGUUCAACAUGUUAUUAUACAUCUAUGACAAAAGAUUAUGAGUUACAAAUUAGGAUGUUGGAAAACCCUUGACUUCAUGAAAACAUAGUUUUAAAGUUACAAAAAAUACUUCAAUCUUUAUAACCUUUUCUGCAUGUAUUUAAGCAACUUGCAUUAAUAAUAAAUAUUCACCAAUAUAGUCUCAUCAUUGAAGAGCAUUCACGAACGAACACGUGACAAACUAUGGUAUAAUCUUCCAACUAAGAAACAAUGAUAAAUGGAAGGGAUAUCAAAGUAACCACUCAUACUGGAAAUCAAAUGAGAACUCAUAAAACACUUGGAUACUAUGAUCACAUGCAAUACCCUCUUGUUUCUUGAAUUCUCAUGCAAUUGUAGUAUCUUCUUAUUAAUUGAAUUCUCACUAGAUUUAACAAUUAUUGUAGAUGGAGACACAGAAACAGUGAUAAAUGGAAGGGAUAUCAAAGUAAUUACUCAUAUUAGAAAUCUAAUGAGAACCCAUAAAACACUACCCUCUUGUAUCUUGAAUUCUCAUGCAAUCAUAGUAUCUUCUUAUUAAUUGAAUUCUCAUUAGAUUUUUAGUAUGAGUACUUACUUUCCAUUUAUCACUGUUUCUAUGUCUCCAUCUACAAUAAUAUUGUUGCGCCUUAUGAAUUAGUUGAAAGACUAUAUUGUGCAUUGUUGGUUGGACAUGCUUUAAUGAUAAGACUACAUUGUUGACUAUAUCUUCGCAAUGCAAAUAACUUAAAUACAUGCACAAAGAGGUGAAGGGGAUAUAAAGAUAAAAUAUUUGGUGCAACUUCAAAACUAGUUUCAUGAAGUUCAGGGUUUUCUAGCAUUCUAUUUCGUAACUCACGCUAUAUGUCAUAGAAUGUAUAAUUGCAUGAAACAUGGUCUACCUCCCUGAUUAGGAUGAAGUCCCUCAAUUUUGUGAUAAAUUGAACGAGAGCACGGAAGGUAGGGAUACCACAUCCAGUUGCAGUUGAUCUGUUAUCAAGAUAAACCACCCAAUAAAUUGAAUGCAAAUAUAUGAUGGUAACCUCUAAUAUGUUGCCUAAAAUGUCUUCCUUCAUUUGGAGAGUCAACAACAAUGUCAAGCAACUGUUGAGGCGCAUUUACUUGACGUAACCAAGAUGCACUCAAGUUGAAUGGAAAGAAGUCAAAUUAGUGCAAAGUUACUCAAGUAGGCAACAUUAAACAAUGUAUCUCUAAAGAGAAGCAAAAAAUAAUCAACAUUCACAACUCUAGAUGUAAGAAAUACCGACACAACACAAUUUCAAAAUUUUAAUUUCUUUAAAAAAUGUAGCACAACACAGACAAAUAUAAAAGAUGACUAAAAAACACAAACAGAGAGUUCCAUAUCUUUCACAACAAGAUUUCCUUAACAAUACUAAUUAUAAAUAUACAUAAUCCGAUGCAAUAACCAAUAGAGAAAAGCGAAAGGAAAAGUGAUUACCAAGAAUUGAGGGUGGUGAUUUCUUGUUUGGAAGAGAGUGAGGAGGGUUACGCUUAACGUUGCUAUGAUGAGUUGCAGCCAAAGCUUGAUAAGGUUUAGCAAUAUCACGAGAUUGAAGGGUUUUGAAGAUUGAAUUCCAUAACUUGCGUUGGUGAUCGAUAUUAACGAACCUGAGUGCCUCCAACUCAUGAAUUGAAUACUUGGCUUUCACAACAGAAAUUGAAGACUCAGCCAUCUCACUCGGUUAUGAUCGGAACCUUGAGGGUUUUAUGAAUUGGGAUGGGGAAGGGUUUAUAUAGGAUUCAUAUUCAUCUAUUUUGUAUCAAAUUCGACAAAACUGAAUAAUUAUAUGAUUUAAAUGUCAUGGGGAUGUAGCUCAAAUGGUAGAGCGCCCGCUUUGCAUGCGGGAGGUACAGGGUUCGAUCCCCUGCAUCUCCAUUUUUAUUCAUUGUAACAAUUUGUUUCUCUGUUAUAUUAUAACUCAUUGUAACAAACCCACAAGGGUGUGGGUGUAUCAGUACAGAAUAUAAACAAAAUGUGCGCUGCAAGUGUGUGCUUAAAAGGAGUUAAGACUUAAGAGGCACUGAAGUUUUCUGGUCCAUAUUCGCAAACAAAACAAUUAUCUCCUAAUGCUAAUUCUCUUCCUACCAGUAUGCUUAAGAAGAGUGUUUUAGUUUAAGAGUGUUUAGUUCAUGCUACAAUAAGAGUGUUUUAAGAGUGUUUAGUUCAUGCUACAAUAAGAGUGCUUUAAGAGUAUUUAGUUUUACAAUAAGGUAUUUAGUUCAUUCUACAAUUAUUUAGUUCAUGCUAUAAUAAUAAUGGUAUUUAGUUCAUGCUAUAAUAAGGGUCCACAUCUACUGCCCCACAAUGAAAUUAUUAAUUAAAGUUUAAUUAUUAAUUAUUUUUUUGACCAAUCAUAGUUUAUGUUGGAGUGACAUAAAUUAUGGGGUGUUUAGUUCAUACUAUUAGAUGAUAUGAAUGCUCAAAAGUGAAGCUUCAAAGGUAUGCUUAUUCUUUACACAAAUAUGUAAGAUUAUGAUUAUAUUUUUAUCAAACACCUACAGCAGCAAAAUUAUGCUUUAUUUGUACCCCCAACAACUAUUUUUGGACAAAAAUAAUUUCAACCAAGCAAACUGUAGAACUUCAAAAUCUGUGAAAAUUUAAGCAUAAGACUCAAAUGAGAGACUAGCAUGCCACCAAUACCAAUUGACGAUUAUGUAAUAUCCUAUUCCUCAAGGACAUUGACAUUCAUCAAAAAGAAGAAAAUUAUAAACAUGCUGCUCCAAAAUGAAAUAUAGUUUCCACACAUAAAGGUUUUUCAAGCCAAGUGUCAGCUUAAUCUGUCUGCUCACAAGAAACAAACAACAAAUAUGGGAGGAUCAACCUUGACAAAUAACAUUUACCAACACAUAUCUCCACCACACUACCCAAACACAUUGUUGCAUUAUGGCUCUAUACAUGUGAGCACUAAAGUAUAUACUUGGAAUUUAACAAUAACAUGAUCAGAGCCAUUCCAAUCCUACACAUCCAAUCUCAAAAGAAAUACAUAUGUAUAUAUAGGAAGUAUAUGACCAAAUAUGGAGAUAACUGAAUCAAACUGUGAAGAACUCAAGAAGUUAAAAACUCAAGUUUGUUUGCUUCAACUCUCAGGGGCAGCAGGAGCAGCAGUCUUCAGAAGUGGUUGGAGUGCUUUAACAACUAUGCUCAUAUUUGGUCUAAACUCUCCUUCAUAUUGCACACACAGUGCUGCAACAGCUGCAAGCUGCAUAGUCAAUGAUGAUUAAGCACUCUGUAUCCAUUUAGAAAUGGAAGAUCCAAGCAACAUGAUUUAUGUGUUUAGGUGUCAUUGAAUGUGGUGUGUGCUCAUGUGUAGGUAGAGAGAGAGAGAGAGAGGAGGGAUACCUUGGCAACUCCUUUAGGGGGAUAUUCUCCCUUCAAUUUUGGGUCAACACAUUGUUUAACUUUAUCCUCACUUAAUCUUGGGGUAGCCUGUAAAAUCAUUUGUCAACUAAAUAUCUAUGGGAGACCACCAUAUACAAAUAACUGAAAUGGGUAUAGAAAUGAGGUAAGAUUUUAAGCAGGAGCACUGACCCAUGUGACUAGGCUUUGCUGUCCGCGAGGCAUAGUAUGAUCAACAGGUUUUCUUCCAGUAAGAAGCUCAAGAAGAACAACACCAAAACUGUAGACAUCGCUCUUCUGAGUCAACUGGCCAGUCAUUGCAUAUCUGUCAAAAUUGGCAAUAAUUAGAAGCUAAGAACAAAUAAAGCAACACCAUGUCCAGAAUGACGGAAAAGAUUGAUUAAAGCCAAACUAGGUGGAGCCAACUAUAUAGACCUAGCAAAGUCAUAUGUUCUACCAUAAAUUUAGUUUGUUGACAAAAAUUGAUCUCGAAAAAUUUCAUAAUCAUUUUACUAUGCUUUUUCUUGACCUCCUUCUGCCUCUGGAAAUUGAACUAACAUUCAUUUGAUCUUCUAUCUUUAUUGAGCCUUCUAACGGUCAUCUCCACACAUGACCAAACAAUCUAAGGAUUUUACUAUCUUCUUUGCAAUAUGAACUAAAUAGGCUUUCUCCCUCAUGCAUUCAUCUUUAAUCUUAUCUUGUCUAACUUGUUCACUCAUCUACUACAACAUUUUCAUCUUUGUUACAUGGAGCUUAUACUCUUGUUGACAUUUUACCACCCUACAUUCAGUCUCUAUAACAUUGUGGGUCUUAUAUCUAUGUUGUAAGGCACCUUAGAAUCACAUAUAACACUUGAACACUUUGUCAUUUCAUCCAUCUUGUUUGAGUCAUAUGGUUUAUAUCUCUAUCAAUUUCCUCAUUGUAUUGUAUGAUUAAGUCAAGAUACUUAAAUCUAGCGACUUGUGUUAUGCUAUGACCUGCAACUUACAUUGCAUAUACUUUGUCUUACUUCGACUUAUAUGAAAGUCAUAUGCUUCUAAAGUUUGUCUCUACCUUUCUAGUUUCUCGUUUAAUUCUUGUCUCGAAUCUCCAACUAGGACAAUGUUAUACGCAAAAAGCGUGAUCGUGACACCGGUUUUUGGAUAUACUCACUGACCACAUCUUAGACUAAUGUAAACAAGUAAGGGCUCAAUAUUGUCCCUUGUUGUAGUCCUAUAGUAAUAAGAAAAUUUGUCGAGACAUCAUCUUCUGUUUUCACAAUGGUCUUCACCACAUCAUACAUACCUCUGAUUGCUCAAAUGUAGGCAAUUCGAUUACCUUUCUUCUCUAGAUCAUUCCACAAUACGUCUCUAAGCACUUUAUCAUAAUUUUUCUCCAAAUCAAUGAAAACCAUGAGCAAGUCCCUCUAGUUCCUUCAGUAUCUCUCCAUCAACCAUAGUAGCAAGUAUAUAGGCACCAUGGUUGACAUUCACGGCGUAAAACCAAAUUGAUUUUCAGUAAUACACGUCUCUUGUCUCAACCCCAGCUCAAUUAUCCUCUCUCAUGGCUUCAUAGUUUAGCUAAUGAGCUUCACCCCAUAUAGUUUGUACAGUUUUGUAUGUUGCUCUUAUUCUUAUAAAUGAGGAUUAAAAUCAAAUCUAAUGGUCCUCCAACAGUAAAUCAUGAAUUCAAGCUGUAUGUAAAAACUAAAAAGAUAUGACACAUACAACAUACAAGCAGCAACUGUGCCUUUAUAAAAGGGUAUUUUUUUAAGUACAAAAUAUGAAUUCAAAGGGGAAAAUAAGAGAGAUAAUAUAGAUGUAUAAAUAUAAAGCUAAUAGAUUCUGGACGCUUACUCUGGAGCGUGAUACCCAAAAGUUCCCAGCACUCGAGUGGAAUGAAGGCGUGCAGCCAUGUCAGGAGACUGAUUUGAAAGGUUAAAAUCCGCUAUCUUAGCCUUGAAAUCUUCAAAGAUAAGCACAUUACUUGAUCUGAUAUCUCUGUGAAUAACAGCUGGCUGAACUUUCUCAUGUAAAUAUUCUAGCCCCCUUGCUGCAUCAACUGCAAUUCUAACUCGUUGUAUCCAAUCAAGGGUUGGACCUGGUUGUGCCCCUUGAACUCCCUUUCUACCUGCAAUGGAAAGCAGAUCAAUCAAAAUCAUCAAAGGAACUUCUAAGCUUCGAAAAGGACAUGACAUUACAUACCAUGCAAUAUGUCAUGAAGAGAGCCCAUAGUAGCAAACUCAUAUGCUAGUACACGAAGAUUCCCUUCAACACAAUAACCAAGCAACUCAACAAAAUUGUCAUUUUUCAAUCUUGAGACCAUGGAAACCUGAAAUAGGGAACAUUGGAUCACGAAGCUAACAAACUCAGAAUAACUGAACAAAACCAACAUACUUUCAAUGGAAAAUCUAUAAUAAUUUGUUUGUUGAUAGAAAAAGAUAUGCCUGAGUCAAAAACUCAUUAUUUGAUUCAGGCUCAGAUGAAACAUCAAGCUUUUUCACAGCCACAGCUUUUCCAUUGUUCAAGGUUGCAUAAUAUGCCCUUCCAUAUGAUCCUUCACCAAUCAAUGCCUUUGAUCCGAAGUUGUCAGUCUUUUCCUUCAGCUCAUCUAAAGAUAAGGCUGGAACUUCAAUAGGUGGUGGUGCCUUUUGUGUUUCAGGUUUCGUAGGAGCCGAUGCCUUUGAGCCUCUGUGGUUGCCUGAAACAAAAAAACAUGACAAUUGAAGAAUCUUUACUAGGAAAGAAACCAUCCAUACUAUGAGUAAUACUUAGAAUUCGCUUUUGUUAAAGUAUCUAGGCUCCUAAAAAUAAAUACAACAAUCAAACCUUGAACCACAGUGUGGCAUCAACUACAAUUGGAAGCUAAAUGACCAGUUUCAAGAAAGAAGCAAACUGCAUUCCUGGAAAGGAAUUAAAAAUACCUUAUAAUUAACUAUUCUAUGAAUACCCUUCAUUGUUAAUAUAUUUACUUCUUCCUCAAAUAGUAAAGAAAAGCUGGAAGAAAAAAUAAUGUGGAUUAAAUUAAGAAAAUCACCAUCUCCAUAAUGCCUCGGGCUUUUCUGGUGCUCAUUUUCAUUCGAUGAGUAAGACUCUUCCACCUGACAAUUACAGCAAAGCCACCUACGCAUCCUUGUCGUCUUAGUCAAAUGUAAAUCGUCUUUGCUAUAAGUUCGAUUCUCCAGGCGGACAAAGUUGCCAGGAGGAGAAGCAUGUGCCUACAUAAUGGCAUAAGAAGCAUGAACAUCCCAUCAAUGACGUAAUAAUUAGGAUCAUAAUUACUUCAUAAAAUCCAACAAUUAAUUCACCUUGAAUAAUAAGUCGGGGGUGCUAAAGGCACAAAUGUUAGAAUAUUAGGUAAUAAUGGUCUCGACAACAACUAUGACUUAGUUUCACAAGGUGGAGUUGCUACUUUGAGCAAACGACUUACAUUCAUGGACAAAGUAUUGAUCUCUAAAUCUAUCAUAAUCAGUUCUUGCUUAUGAUUUUUCUUGGCGUCUAUUUGCCUCUAACGGUCUCUUCUACACAUGCUAAAACCACUUAAAGGUGAUGAUGCCAUAUUUUCUACAAUAUGAGCUCCCCAAAUUUCUCUCUUCAUUCCUAAUCAUAUUUUGUCCACUCAUCCAACAAGACAUUAUUAUCUCUAUUAUAUUGAGUUUAUUCUCUUAUUGAUAUUUAUCAUCCAACAUUUACUCUCAUGUUACAUUGCAUAUCUUAUAGUUGUGCGGUAAAACUUCCACUUGAGUUUGAAUGACACAUAUCUAUCAUAUUUGACAAUUGAAACACUUAGUUAUUUCAUUUCAUCCAUUCUGCUUGAGUCCUCUAGUUUACAUCUCCCUCCAUUUCCCUAUCGUGUUGUAUGAUUGAUCAUAAAUACUUAAAUCUAGUGACUUGUGGUAUGAUAAAAUCUCCGACUUUUACCUCCAGUAGAGUUUUUCAGUCUCUUGCAAAAUUUACACUCCAUAUACUUCAUCUUAUUUCAACUUAUAUAAAAGUCAUGUGCUUCUAAAACUUUCCUUCACAGUUCUAGCUUCCCAUUUAAUUCCUCUCUCCAAUCUCCAAGGAGGACAAUAUCGUCCACAAAAAAUACAUUGUGCCAUCGAUUAUUGGAUAUACUCAUUAAGCCCACCCAUCACCAACAUAUACAAAUAGAUGCUCACAUCGAUAUUGACACAUCAUACAUAACCUUGAUUGCUCAAAACUAGGUAAUCUGAACUUCUUUCUUCUCUAAUGUUUUCCAAUGUACCUCUCUAGGCACAUUAUCACACGCUUUCUCUGAAUCAAUGAAACUAUGUGUAAAUCCUUUUGGUCCUUUCGGUAUCUCUUUGUCAAUCAUCGUGGCAAGCAUAUUGCUUCCAUCGAUCUCCCCGACAUAAAACUAAAUAUAUCAACUCAAUGCUAAAAAAACUUGAUACUUAUGUGCUCAUACAAAUAAAAUGCAAUCUCCACACCCUCCACUUUUGCUAUCACCUUGAUCUAAUAAACAUUACAUUGCCUAACAACAUAACACAUUCUUUUUUAAUGUCAUGCAUUACAGAUUCACAAUACUUGUUUAAAUUGAAUCCUUAGAAAAUUAUGUAGGGAAUUUCGUCAAACAAUCAUUCAACAACAAAUCACCAACGGAGGGACCUUAAAUAAUUUAUCAACUUAAAAAUAAAACAGGAUCAAAACCAUUCAUUGCCGCAAUUCAUUCAACAAUCACAAAAAUUCAAUUUGGAACAUUACAAACUGUAAAAUUAGAUACAACAACAAUUAACAAUCAACAAUCAUCAUAAGAAUCACGGAAUAAUGCAAAAAUUGAACAACUAUUUUGAGCUCCUGAAAUGAAUUGAGUAAAAAAUAUACGAAAAUUGAUUAAUACCAAAGCAGAAGGUCGAUGGUGAAAGUCUCUGCGGUCCAUUCAAAAGGGAAGAAAAUUAUAGAAAUGAAUCAAAAUCGAAAUGAACUAAAAUGGAAAACAGCUAGAGCCCAGAAAAUGAGGAGAUGGAAAAAACAGAGAUUGGAAACAAAAACAAAAACUGAAAAUACGAUAAAAUAAAAUAAAAAAGGGUGAGAGAUAAAUUAACCAAAAAUAGGACUAAAAUAAAGGGAAGAAGAGAAGAGAAGAGGAGAGAGAAAUAGAAUAAUACCAAUUUGGGUUGUUAGGGUUUAUUUGGAAAUGAAUGUUUAAGUAUUUGAGGGGAUGCAAAUUAAUGUAUAGAGAGACAUGUCGAUUUGUUUUAUUGUUUUUUGGUUACUGAAACUUUGCUUAGUAGUUUGGAAUGUCGUUUCUACCAGGUAAGCAACGCGGCUCAACACCUCUUUAGAUUAUAAUAAUAAUAGUAUUCAUUCAGGUACAAACAAGUUUCCCAACCAAUAGUAUUGGUUCAGCCAGUUUAAUUCUCUUUAAGUAAAGUAUUGGAUUCAAGUUUUAUGGAUAAAAAAAUAUAUGUUAUGAGAGUUAAUUUCAUAUACUUGUAGAUGUUUCAGACUCCGACAUAAUUGCCUCCAGUGUGAGGAUACUCGUAGGAAACAAAAAAAACAAACUUCUCAUUACCAUAAAUAAUAUAAUAGUGUAAGAAUUGAUUUGAUUCGGAGAUAAAUUAAAAUAUUAAGAAUUCGAUUCAUAGUAAUCACAUUUGUUAAAAGGAAUAGUCACGUGUCUCUAUAAAUUUAGCUCUACAGAUACUUUUGAUUAUAUCAAACUCUUCGUUAAGAUAAUAUACUUUACAAUAUUAUUAAUGAGUUGAUAAGAACAUUUGGCUAAAUGGGAUUUUUAGAAGGAAAAAAAAGUCAGGUUAAUUAGUAAACCAAUUGAAGUGGUGUAUGUCUUUCAAGUCAAUAAGUUAUAAUAUUCUUGCAUCAUUUUACAUUUAUAAUUCAAUUGAUCCACUAGUUAUAUCGUAAGGUUACAUAUAAUAAUAAGAAAACAACAAUUCUAUAUUUUAAUUUAAUAAUAACUAUGUGUUUUUAUAUUUAUAAUUAAAUUAAAUAAAAAUAUAUCUGUUUGGAUAGUUUUUCAUUUCUUUGUAGGAAAGAUGAGUUGGCAGUGUGAUGAUGAGAGAAGGUAUCUGACCCAAUUGUUUAGGACUCCUUUUAUGCCUUGGCUGGUUUUGUUCUGAAGAUUACUUCCAUCUUUUUAGGGCCAUAAUAGGUCCUUGUGCUUCCUACUCAUUAUUACUUUUUUGAAAGUAGUCAUGUUAUAAUACUAUUCUCAAUAUUAAUAAUUUGAAGCAUCGUGUCUUUGCUUUUCUACAUCCAAAAGAAUUGGUUGAAGCAAAGCACUGCAAAAUAAACUAUCAGUAAUCUACAAAAAUAGGAUGUAACCAAAGCUAAUCAUAAGAUGGAAUUAAAAUUCAUAUUAUACCCCCUUCACAUACUAUGCCAAACUUAUAAACUUCAAAAUCCUAUUUCCUCUUUUGAAGUUAAAUUGAAACAAUUAAAGUUUGUAAGUCUUAGAGAUGGAAUGGUUAUUUUGGCAUGUUGUACAAUGUUGUAGCGCCAUGUUUGGCUUCAUAUCACUCUACCCCUCAAAUGUGAUUCUAGCCAAAAACUACAACUAAUAGAAUGGGUAAACAAGAUUUUGAGCCUUAGCCACAGUAGAAUUGAAAUUAGAGUAUCCUUUUAAUCAAAUGGCAGAUUCUACCAAGUUGUUGAUCUAAUAGUAUACGAUCUCGUUAAAUCCUCAAGAUGACCAAAAUAUCAAGAGUUCAAUUCAUCAAAGCAACACUUGUUGGAAGGGGCAACCCCACAUCCCAAAAUGGAUUAAUUUUUUACUCAAAGUAAAGAAAACUCUUGGUAGUACCAGAUUCUGGCACAAAGUGAUCUUAACUUCUUAAUUUAACAUAACAAAGAUAACCAUAUCUAUCUUAUUUAUCUAUAUAUUUGACUUUAUACAUUUAUUUUAAAUGUAGGUAAAACAAACGAAACAUGGCCAUUCCAAACAUUUUGCGUAAGCGUUCUAAACCACAAAAUAGUAAGUCCAGGGCAAUGACCAAAUCAUAAAAAAUAUUAUAUUAUAAGUUCUGUACUUGGUUAAGCAAAAAAACACCCACUGAAGGCACCAAGCUUGCCUUCUCAAUCUUGCAAAGUACUUAAAAUAAUCUAUAAAUAGAUUAUCAAGGUGGCCAGAAAAUUCCUGAGACAUCAAGGGAGAACAAGUAUGCUGAUUGCUGACCCAAAAAAGUGGAUAACAGAAAUUACAAGACAUAAAUUAACAUUUGGGUCCAAAUUUAUGCUUAUGCUUAAGCAUAUUAAUGAUUAAUGCUACACAAACAAAGUCAAAAUGAUCACUACCUUGAAUUGUGGUCAAAACUGAAACAAGUGCAAAAAAAUCCUGAUCCUAUUAAAGAUGAAGGCACAAGUCACCACUGUGCUAAUCCAGUCUCUGCUUGCUCUUGCUUUUUAUCAUCUUUGCCUUAAAUCUUGACUUUACCAUCAGAGUUUGUACUGUAUUUGUGAAGUUCCCAACAGCCAUCAAGACCAACAGGACGCCACAAAAUAUUACCUGCUCCAAGAGUAUACCAAUCAUUAUAUGGCUAAUAUGGAGGAGAGCCCAGUGCAUGAGGUUCUCAUAUAGUGAGAUCUGAGGAGAGUAGAUGUAAGUAGCCUUAUCCCCACAAACGGAGAGACUAUUUCCAGAAUAUGAAUCUGUGACCUUUUGGUCAAUACGCAACAACCUUACAAUUGUGCCGAGACUCACCCUCUAAUUAUACAGCUAAUAUAUGCUACAAGGAUUCAUUCUUUCAGGUUUUGCCAGUUGAUGCACAAAAUGAAGAACUAAAAUAGAAAAGCACAAGCAAGGUAGUACCUGCCAUUCAGAAACAACCCCAACAAAUGCGGUAUUGAGCAACAAUACUCCAACAUAUGCCUCAAAUCCCUAAACCAAGAUAGGAACACAAAUAUUUACUUCACGAAUGUCAAACCAAAAUCCAUGUGACACUCAGGUCAAAAAAAAUUAAAAAUGUGACUAAAGCAGAAAAUUUCAGUUUUAAAGCAAAUUAACAGUGGAACAUAUAAGGCAGAACAAUAAGCUUAAGGCGUGUUUUGGGUCAAGCUGCGAAGUUACCUGCAAUAUGAAAAGUAUGGGACACAGUAGCCACAGUUGGCCAUCCACACCAGCUGUUUCCCCCCACACAACAUCCAUCCGCUUAGCCUAAAAUUCAGAGAAAAGCAAGGAUAAAAACUAUGUAUUUUCCAGUCCAUUUGCUUAGAGAAAUUUCACAAUAAAAUUAUUGCUUUAGGGGAAAAGGAAAUUAUAACACGACAUAGUGGGUCCAAGAGGUGAAAGGAAGUAACUACUAACUAGGCAAGAUGAUAGAAUGACUGUGACGUAUAACUAAACUAGAAAUGAAAAAGCAUGUACAAAAAAUAUUAUUUAGCAGUCCCACCUUUCCUAAUGCAAUACGAGUAUACAGUCUCUGGCGUUGAUAUCUAUUUUGCAAAAGCAUUGCAACUCCUUGCAUCAUAGCCCACUGUAGGAAAAGUUCUACACCUCUCUGCAUGUGUUGUUGAGACAUAAAUGAUAGGCACAUAACAGAAUUAAUAGGAAUUAAAAGGAAGCAAAAAACUAUAUACAUUAGGGAAGGAAACUAGCCUGCUUUUUUGCACAAUCUGGUUGUCCUUUAAUUUCCCAUGUAAGGCUCACAAGGGCCAUUAUCAUAGCACAAUAGUGAUGAUAUAUCCACCUGUAACCAUAUAGCAAGUUUAUUUGCCAAAAGAUUUAGUCCCAUGUAAACCAAUCUCUGCCCUUCCCAAAAUCACAACGGUAUGCAAAGAUGACAGCGUUAGCAGGUCAAGUAAAUAAAAUUCCUGUCCUCCCCUUCCAUGUUCUCAAUCUAAUGCAGGACAAGGAGGGAUAUGAAAGGAAGUUACUAAGAGGGGGAAGAUAUCCUCUUGUAAAAGGAUAGAAACAUCAAAUAAAGAACAUAAGCUCAAAAAAAUGAACCAAUCACUUGGCAAAGUAAAGGAAACCCCUUUAAAACUAGUGAACUGAAACCCACAAAUAGACAAGGAAACAGGCAUGUCCUGCACGAUAUCAGAAAGAAUAAACCAUGGCGGAUCUGUAACGUUGCCCACCUAGUGGGAUCAAGGCUUCAUUGUUGUUGACGGAUCUGUAACGGCAAUCCAUCCAAAUGAACCGAAUAUCGUCACCAAACAAAAGACAGGUUACAAGAUACCAUAUUCUCCCUCACAGCAAAACCUCAAAACAGUGAGAGAAAGACCAUAAAGUUAAACAUAGAUGGACGCAUCCAAUGCCAUACAAAUAGUCCAAACAACUUACUUUGCUAUUGAUGGCUACUCAUAUGAAUGCUUUUAUGACUCAAUACAAACUUCAAUGGAAAGAGCCCUCUGAUGCCCAAACACAUGAAUCAAACAAUUAGUGUUAAUCAAAGAAAGUAUCACAAUCCAAAUGAAAGUCACAACUUAGUGUUAGUUUCAGCCAUGACAUUUCAGGAAGAAGAUUCACAAUAAGAUGAUUAAAAAACGAUUCUGAAGGGUUUAAUCUCCAAAUGAGGGGCAUAAGAAUUAAGAAGUAUAUAAAUAACAAAAGUAACUGAUAAUGGCCAAUAAAUAUACCAAAAUCAUAGGCAUCUUUUGGUCAUUGAGGAUCCAAAAAAAAUGGACACUUCAAGAAAUGGCAACUGAGUAGGAAAAAAAACUAAAAAGCAUGUACAACAUGCAAGGUAAGCAAAUGAUAAAAACAGGGAGAAAGAAUGCCAAAGAAAAGUUAUCCCAGAACGGAAAAUGGACCAUAUCCACUUCCAGAGCAAGCAAAGAUGAGAAAGAAGGUGAUGUGAUAAACUUCCUGGGAUUUGAGUUGAGUUAGUAGCAGAAACCCCAAACUUGACAUCCACUACCAUGUCAAUGAAAACAUUAUUUGCUCACUUUGCCACUAGGACAGUGUUCAUAGACACAAUAAUCUCACUAAGUAUCCCUUACUGGAUACAUAACUUGUAGGGUUUCGAAGGUUGAUGAAUCAAUAUCUGAGUUAUCCAAGUUUCAAUACUUUAAUUUGACAACAAAUCACAGAACCAAGAACCUCAUGUCCCUUUAUUAGCCAUUAUCUAUUCUUUUUUCAUGAGAUCAUUAUAAAAAAAUCCCGUCAACAAAGCCUACAUAUAGCGAAGAGUGUAGUGUAUUUACCAUGGCCGAAUAUCACUUCCAUUGACUCUCAAUAUGUUCUCUCGCAAUGCCAAACCAGUGUAAAGGAAUAGCAGCCACGCCUGACAAAUAAUAAUACCCAGUGACAUAUUUAGCAUGAAUGUUUUACCAUGUAAUCAAAGAAGAGAGGCUGAUAUCAAAUACCUGGUACAUCUGAACAGGGAAAGCUGGCAAGCAUCCAUCCCAAACCCAAGAUCGUAGAAUUAGUAGUAUUGCUGGGAAAAGGAGGAACAGCAAGGCAGUUUUAUCCUGAACAUAGGAAGUGCCAUUUUCAUUAUAAAAAAAAGUUAGACAAACUUCUUUUUCUGUGUGAAGUUUCACAAACUAUCAAUUUUGAGUCAACUAUGUUAUUUGCAUGCAUGUCUUUGUUCUUUUUCUAGUAAACAUGCUUGAAAAAGAGGGAUCAAACCAAACAUACAAAUCUC